GUAUAUGCUGAAGCCUAAAAAACACAAAAAAAAACCCUAAGCCCUAAACAAUAAUCCUAUAAAACCCUAAGAAAACUUAACCUAAAAAACCCAAAGCCCUAAACCCUAAAAACCUACAUAAAACCGUUAAACUAAAACUCUAAACUGAAAAAAACUGUAAGCCCUAAACCCUAAACCCUAAUAUAAAACCCUAAAUCCUAAACCUAAAACCAUAAGAAACCCAAAAUCUUACAAACCCAAAAUUAAACCCUAAAACCAUUAAAACCCCUACAAAACCCUAAGCUCUAAACCCUAAAUCCUAAAAAUCUGUAAUCACUAAACCUAAAAACAAACAAAACCCUAAGCUUUAAUCCUAAAUCUUUAAAAAAAACCCAAAGAAACACUGAACCCUUAAAACCCUAAAAUACUCUAAGUUCUAAACCCUAUAAAGCCCUAAAUCGUAUAUAUUAAACCUUAAAAAACAUACACAAAAACCCUAAGCCCUAAACCCUAAGACUUUAAAAUCUUAAAAAAUCAUCAACCUAAAAAACCCAAAGCCCUAAACCUAAACCCUAGAAAAAACCUUGUACCUAAAACCCAAAACCUAAAAAACACCUAAAUUCUAAACCUAAAACGCUAAGAAACCCUUAACCUUCAAACUUAAGAAACUCUAAAUCCUAUAACACCUAAAAUAAACCCUAAAACCCAUUUAAAAACCCUAAGCUCUUAACCCUAAAUCCUAAAAAUCCAUAACCCUAAACCUAAAAAACACAAAAAAAACCUAAGCCAUAAACCUUCAACCCUACAAAACCCUAAGAAACACUUAACCCUUAAAACCCUAAAAACCCUAAUAUCCCCAAACCUAAAAUCUCUAAGCUCUAAACCCUAUAGAGCCCUAAAUUGUAUAUUCUAAACUUUGAAAACACAAAAAAAAAAAACCUAAGCCCUAAACUCUAAACCUAUAAAACCCUAAAAAAUCCUUAACCUGAAAAACCCAAAGCCCUAAACCCUGAAAACCAAGAUAAGACCCUUAACCUAAAGCCCUAAACCUAAAAAAAAAGCUAAUACCCAAAUCCUAAACCCUAACCUAAAACCCUAAAUCCUAAACCUAAAACCCUAAGAAACCCUUAACCCUAACCCUUAAGAAACCCUAACCUAAAACCCUAAAUCCUAAACCUAAAACCCUAAGAAACCCUUAACCCUAACCCUUAAGAAACCCUAACCUAAAACCCUAAAUCCUAAACCUAAAACCCUAAGAAACCCUUAACCCUAAACCUUAAGAAACCCUAAAUCCUAUACACCCUAAAAUAAACCCUAAAAAUUAUUCAAAACCCUAAGCUCUAAACCUUAAAUCUUAAAGAUUCGUAAACCCUAAACCUAAAAAAACACAAAAAAAAAUCCCAAGCCCUAAACCCUAAACACAAAAAACCCUUAAGAAACCCUAAACCCUAAAUGUUAAGAAACCUAAAAUCCUAUAAACCUUAAAAUAAACCCUAAAAACCAUUCAAAAUCCCUACAAAACCCUAAGUUCUAAACCUUAAAUCUUAAUGAUUCGUAAACCCUAAACUGAAAAAAAACAAAAAAAAAUAAUCCUAAGCCCUAAAACCUAAAAUACCCUAAGAAAAAGUUAACCCUUAAAAACUCUAAAAAAACCCAAAAACCCCUACAAAAAAACUCUAAGCUCUAACCCUAUAAAGCCCUAAAUCAUAUAUGCUAAACCCUAAAAACACAAAAGAAUUUGAAUCCCUAUACCCUAAAACCUAACCUAAAAUCGUAAAUCCUAAAGCUAAACCCUAAGAAACCAAACCCUGAACCCCAUCGCAUUUUCAUUUCAAGAAUUUUUUCUCUCUCUAAUUUCUCUCUAAGAAAGGUGCCCUAAAUUCUGCCAAUAACGGCUAUAAUCCCAUCUGAUACGCGCACUGCCGGAAUGGCGCGUGAGCCACCGACGGAGCUCCCCAGGCCACUGGACAAAGAUCAACAAGAGCGACAUGGAAAGAGCAACAAAAGCCAUCAAACCAAGCCCCAUAAUUCAUCCCAUAGCUCCUCAAAUUCGCAAAAUACUGAAGCGAUCAACACUGUGAUUUCAGAGAAGGAGCUGGAAGGAACUCAUAAAAUCAUUUCCCAGUAGGUAAUGUUUGGAUUCAUGGAAAAUUGAUAGGUGUUAUGGAAGCUCCUAAUCAUGAUCUAUCUUCUACCAAAAGUCCAACUGAUUCUACUGUCCCAAUUGAGAGAUCUCGUGAUGCAAUUUUGAAGGGAAUCGCAAAUAAAUUGCCAGAAGUACGCCCGCAAAUUCGAAGCUCUUCGGGUCAAGUUCUUGCAGAUUCAGCUACUGGGGAUUACUCCCCACAACUAGAAGUUCAUCUUACUGAAAUUUCAAUUGAAUUGGAUGGUGGAAUCAUCGGCGGUGAAGAUUUCAGCAAAACUUGAGGUCAACUCACCGGAGUUCAUGGAAUUUCAAUUAGAGGAACUAAUUCCCCUCCCCUAGACAUCCAUCUGUCGGAAAUAUCCAAUAAUAUCAAUGGAGGAAUCAUCAGAAGCACCAAUUCAAGGCAAUCAACAGAUGUUUCAGCUGAUGAUCCAAUGACCUUGAAUAGAAGGAAAAUUCAGGACAUUCAGCACAUUGAGGAGGAAGUAGCUGUAAUGGAGACACAUAAUUUGAGCAAACAACAAGACACAAAUCAAUCUAAAGAGGCUCAAUCUUCAAAUUUUUCCUUUGGUAUUGCAGGUAAUUCCAGGAACUUAACUUCACCUCUUUCAUCUGAUGCAAUGUAGGUUACAACAAUACAUGACAAAGGAGCUGAAGAAUCUGAUAAGGAUCAACAAAAAAAGGCUAGAGAAUCAGGUCAAGGACAUCAGGUCAAGGACAUCAGGUACAAAACACAGAAUUACAGGGCAUAUCAGAUCAAAACAGGAUAGCAGAAAAGACAAGGAUAAUCAACAACAAAGGAAUGGACAACCAACUCAAGGGCAACAAAAUCAAGGAAAGGCAAUGCAAUCAGUGCACAUACAUAAUGAAACAAAUGGACAAACUAGUAGGAAGGGUGAAUUGUCGAAACAAGUAGAUAACAAAGGAAACGAUAGCCAAAAUGACCAAAGUAAGGCCAUCACUCAACAUGUUUCGACUAAUGCAACCCAAAAUGACAAAGAAAGGGCCAACAUACAUUAUCAACAAAACUUUCCUAAGAUUUCCAACAAUUACGCAAGGUAUGAUCCUAAUCUUCAGAAAAAUAAGAGUGUAGCAAGUCAUGAUAACUAUGAUAAUAAUCAAGGUAAUGAGGGACAAUAAAACAAUCAGCAUCAUUCUCAAGCUCCUAAUAAGACUAAACAGGACAAUAUCCCUGAACUUGCUCCUUUUACUAUAAUUCAAUCGUGUGCUGCUAAACUUAGAUAUAAUCAGUCUAAGGGUGAAAUCCCUAUUGAAUUGGAUAGUCUAAUUCACACCAAUAGACAAGGGCUGCUUGUUGUGUUAUUAGAAGAAGAUGAUUACAAUAUCAAGUUGGAUGAAAGUUGCAAGUACACUUUAGUGGGCAAAUUUACAAACACCAUGCCAAAAAUGGAGGUGAUUAGGAGAAGCUUCAUACUUCAGACUCAACUUUCUAGAGGGGUGAAAAUUGCUCACUAUAACUCUCGACAUGUUUACAUCGAUUUGGACAAUGAGUUUGACUAUGUUACGAUCUGGACUAAACAAAGAAUGAGCAUUGAUGGCCAAUUAAUGAGAAUACAAACUUGGACUCCUGCAUUUAUCCCAGAGGAAGAAACCCCUAUAGUUCAUAUAUGGGUAGCACUGCUUGAACUCCCAUGGCACUGUUAUAACAAAGUUCUCUUGACGACUAUUCUAAGUUCCAUUGGUAAAGUGAUGUACCUUGAUUCUCCCACCUCUCAAAAGACUAGAGGCAGCAUGGCUAGAGUGAAGAUCCAAAUUGAUCUCACCAAGCCAAGGCCACCUCAUGUUUGGGUGGGAUUCAAGAAUUCAGAUCCCAAUAAAGGAAGGUGGCAAAAGGUGCAAUAUAAGGGAAUCCCAGAUUACUACAUGUACUGUAAACAUCAAGGGCAUAUGGAUAAUGUGUGUACUAUCAAAAGAAGAGAUGAGGAUUUCAAAAACAGGAGAAAAGUGGAAGCUGAAAAACAAAAUAGGCCUAAGGGUGACCAAGAGAAAGGAGGUACUAAGGUUAUACAGGUACAAGACAAGGACAAAACAGAGACAAAUACUAAGGCACAAGGUCAGCAACACUUAGUUCAAAAGAGGGGCAAUAAACCAGAUGAGAACCAAGGAAAGACUCAGCAUACAAAUCAACAACAACAGGCAGCUGCUACUAACCUACAAACAUACCAAGAGUAGGAAAAAUCAGACCAAGAAGAGCACUGGCAGAUUCAGAAGAGGAAACAAAAAAAAAUCAAGAACAGACUCACCCCAAGACUGCAUGGAGACCUGUCUCACUUCCACACAAAAGCACCAAGGAUAUUAUGAAAAAGGCACCAGAAACAUCAGGUAUAAGUCCUACUAUCUCUAUUCAUAAUAAUUACAUUGAUUCAGAAAUGCAGGAACAACAAGGUACAGGCAAUGUUGAAGAAUGCAACAAUAACAAAGUUUCAGACCAAGGAAUGCAAUCACCACAAGGGUCAGAUAAUGACUCACCAUACUUAAACCUUAACAAUAAAGCAAGUAUACACAAGGAACAUGUUGCAGCCAAUAAAAGCACAGGUAUUGAUUUUGUUAUCCCUAUAACCCAACUCCCUAGUAUUAGUUCUUUGAAAACUAUUGUAUAUGCUGAUGAAGCUGAAGGAGGUAUGGAUGGGGGUGUAAGGAGAAACCUAUUAACUUGCAGGAAGGGGUAUCCAAAGGGGGGAAUUUUACUCAUGUUCUGCAUGAGGUUGAAAACACUGACCCUAGGCUGAACUAUAGACCCCCUGCUACCACUACUUCAAGACACACGAAUCAGCAUAAUCAGAAGAAGCACAAUCCAAUGCAAGCUGAUGAUUCUGGUCAGUUUCAGGCAGAAACAAGGCUACAGGAUACAUAAAAUUUAGAUAUUUUGCAAGGUGAUGAUACAGGUCAGUUUCAAGAAGAUACAGGGUUACAACCUACAGAAAAUUUGGAACUUUUGCAAUGUCAAAAAUUUGGUAAUACUCCAACAAGUAUUGACAGAGAUAAUGGUCAGAAAUAACAGGGUUCAAGAGGUAAUGAUGGUAUAAAUACUCCUGGCAACAAACAUAAUUAUGAGGGUAAUCAUACAAGCCUAGAGGAACAUCAUCAACAUCACAACAAGGAAUCUGCAGGGAAACUAUCCAAUAACAAAUCCAGGGGCAUAUUGAGCAAGAAAAAAGAGACGCUAUCAAGAGAAAACAACAAAAAGAGGUUGAAAACCAAGAAAAAAAUAGGCAACAAUCAGAUUAUGAUGUGGUAAUUCAGAGGAUGAACUUGAUGAGGACACGCAAUCCCUCAAUGAAAAUGAUGAUGACGAGGAAGGGGAUGAAACCAAUGCUCAUUUGAUCAAGGCUUUUGGGUCUACUUUUCGAAGUGAAUUCCAAGAAGAGAUUCAAGAAGUGGCAGAUCAACAAGGCUUAUCUCCAAGGGGUAGAAAAAAAGUCAGACAGCUCAUUAAAUCAACAUCUAUCAGCACAUUUGCUAAAUCUAGCAGACCUAACACUAGGUCCAAAAGCAAAGGUUUUUAAUGAUUAGUACAAUAUGUUGGAAUGCUAGGAGCAUCAACACCCAAGGCUCUUUGGAAAUAAUCCAAAAUUUCAAGAAAAUGCAUAAUCUCGCCAUGAUAGCUAUUCUUGAACCUUUUGUACACAAUUCUCAAAUCAACCAUUACAAAAUUUAUUAUCUAUGGACAAUGAUUCUUGUAAUCACAAUGGUAAAAUUUGUCUUUUUUGGACCAAUGACAUAGAUGGUGAGGUGCUGGAAGUGAAUGAUCAACAUAUCACUUGUUCUACGAAGCAUGUGGAGCAUAAAGAGAAGUUUAUGGUCUCUUGCAUUUAUGUCAAAUGCAAAGAGCAUCUGAGAAGACCUCUUUGGGACAGAUUGUUCCAUUUUUCUAAUAUGGACACCCCUUGGUGCACCAUAGGUGACUUCAAUGUUAUUACAUCUAUGGAGGAAAAGUUUGGAGGUAUACCUUACAACAUGAACAAAAGCCUUGAUUUUAUCAAUAUUAUUGAGGCAUGUGGACUAGUUGAUAUUGGGUAUAGUGGUCAGCAUUAUACUUGGUGUAAUCAGAGAGCAGAAGAGGCUAGAGUGUGGAAAAGGUUAGACAGGGCUAUGGUCAAUGAUAAAUGGCAGGAGUUCAUUCCCCAAACUACUAUUACUCACCUUCCUUCUGUUGGUUCUGAUAACUGUCCAUUACUUAUGGAGAUGGAAGUUAGACUGGAGCACAAAAUCAAAUAUUUUAAAUUCCUGCACUACUGGACUGAAAAUGAGAAUUUUUUAGAUACAGUUAAAGGCUGCUGGCAGAAGGAAACUUCUGGGAAUCCUAUGUUGAGAUUACAUCAGAAGAUGAAAAUACUAGCUUCCACUUUGAGUACUUGGUCCAAGAAGGAAUAUGGCAAUAUAUUCUCUAGUGUUGUUAAUUUUGAGGAACAAGUCAAAGUCGCAUAAGAAGUUGUUCUACAACACAAUACUGAAGAAAAUAGAACCAAACUUCAUCUUAUCAAUGCUCAAUACAUCAAGUAUCUUAAAUUGGAAGCUUCCAUCGUGAAGUAGAAAACUCAACUCCAAUGGUUCAAGGAAGGAGAUACUAAUUCUAAGUAUUUCCAUUCCAUAAUGAGGGGUAGGAGGAGAAAACUGUUCAUCCACAAAAUUUGUACUGCUGAAGAUAUCUGGAUACAAGGAGAUGAAAACAUUGCUAAGAAAACCUGUGAUUACUUCCAACACAUGUUUUCAAGCCAUGAAGACAGGAUCAGGGAAGAAAUCCUUAAUUGCAUUCCUAGAAUGGUAACACCAGAACAAAAUCAGACACUCCAGCAAAUGCCUAAUCUGGAAGAAUUGACUCAAGUGGUGUUUUCCAUGAGCCCUAAUUCUGCAGCUAGCCCGGCUGGUUUUGGAGGAAAAUUUUAUCAACACUGUUGGGAAAUUAUCAAAGAAGAUGUUUUGUGUGCUGUCCAGUAUUUCUUCUGUGGAUAUACUAUGCCUAAGUUCAUUUCACAGCCUGGUAUUACUUCCUAAAGUUGAGCAUCCCAACAAGUUCACUGAGUUCAGACCCAUCAGCUUGAGUAACUUCUAUAAUAAAAUUAUUUCCAAGUUGUUAUGUCUCAAAUUAGCCCCUAUUCUACCUCAGUUAAUUUCUGAAAAUCAAUCUGGUUUUGUUAAGGGUAGGAGCAUAUAUGACAAUACUAUGCUUGCUCAGGAAAUCACUCAUGGUAUUAAAAAACCCAAUGAAGGUGACAAUGUGGUAAUUAAACUAGAUAUGACCAAGGCAUAUGAUAGAGUGUCUUGGCCUUAUACUUGUCUAGUUCUAAGAAGAAUGGGUUUUGGAGAGAUGUUUAUUGAUCUAGUAUGGAGAACUAUGAGCAAUAAUUGGUAUUCUGUGAUCAUUAAUGGUGCUAGAAAUGACUUCAUUCAUUCCACUAGAGGUCUCAAGCAAGGGGAUCCUUUAUCUCCAUCCUUAUUUAUUUUAGGGGUUGAGGUACUUUCCAGGUUGCUCAACAUGCUUCACCACCAUCAAAGUUACAAAUAUUUUCAAAUGGAGAUCAGGGGACCUCAAAUUAAUCAUCUAAGUUUUGCAUAUGACAUCAUCAUUUUCUCCUCCAUUACCGGGGACACCCUCCAGAUGAUCAUGAAGACUCUUUCCAUCUAUGAGACAGUGUCUAACCAGUUCAUAAACAAGGAAAAGAGUCAUUUCAUAGUUCCAGAGAAUACUCCUCAAGAUAACAUUGCAAUGAUCAGAGAAAUCACUUGUUUUAACCAGAAAGCUAGUCCUAUUACUUACCUUGGCUGUCCUUUAUCCAUUGGAGGGAAGAUAAUUAUUUACUACUAUGAUUUAGUGGCUAAAAUUAGAAGGAAAAUUACUGGAUGGCAGUCUAGAAUAUUAAGCUUUGGGGGCAAAGUUACAUUGGUGAAGCAUGUUUUCCAAUCAAUCCCCAUUCAUACAAUGUCAGCUACUUCUCCUCCUAAAACCACUAUUAGAUAUAUGAAGAGAGCUAUUGCUGAUUUCUUUUAGGGCUGGGAUAAGGAAAACAAGAAAUAUCAUUGGGCUUCUUGGGAUAAAUUGAGUCUACCUUAUGAUGAAUGAGGCAUUGGAGUAAGAAAACUUGAAGAUGUAUGCACCUCUCUUCAAUUCAAGCAAUGGUGGACUUUCAGAACUAAACAAACCUUAUGGGGGCAGUUUUUGAGGGCUAAAUAUUGCCAAAGGGCUCACCCUGUGGCCAAAAAACUUGAUACAUGGCAAUCCUUGGUAUGGAAUUUUAUGCUGAAAAAUAAAGGCAUUGCCGAGGCUCAAAUCAAAUGGUAGAUCAAUUCUGGUAAUAGUUCCUUUUGGUGGGAUGAUUGGUUAGGAGAGGCUCUUUUAGCCUCAUAUUGCACUCAUAUUACUAGUCUUAACACCACCACAAUCUCUCAAUUUAUGGUAGGUGGAAACUGGAAUGAGACUAUGGUGAGACAAUGGGUGCCCCCUCUUUUGGUUCCAAAUAUCUUGAGUAUUCCCAUUCAAUACCAAGAACAGGUCCCAGAUGAGGCAAUCUGGAAACUUACUGUUGAUGGCUUGUUUUCUUGCUCCUCAGCUUGGGAACUUAUUAGACAUAAAGGCAUUAAGAACAUCAUCAACAAAGGCAUCUGGCAUAGACACCUUCCAUUCAAGAUUUCAUUUCUAGUUUGGAGGGCCUUGAAGAGAAAACUUCCCACUAAUGAGAAGCUUACCAGCUUUGGAAAGGAAGUUGCUCAGUGCUCAUGUUGCUACAGACCUGGAGAAGACAAUAUAGACCACAUUUUUAUAUCUGGCCACUUUGCCAACAAUAUAUGGAGUUUUUUUCUCUGCGACUUUAGGUAUACAUCAUGAUCACAUCCCUAUACAAAUGUUGUUGCUGCGAUGGUGGAGACAGGAACACAAAAGUGAAGUACAGAAUUUGCUGAACCACUUACUUUCUUUGAUCAUUAUUUGGAACCUCUGGAAAAAUAGGUGUGCUGCAAAAUAUGGUGCAAAACAGUCCAACACAGCUAGAGUCAAGUUUUUAAUUCUUAAAGACACUACUCAUUUACUCAACACAACAUUUACCUAUAUCAAAUGGGCCAAUAAUUGGAAUGAUGUAUUUAGAAUGGUGGAGAAGUGCAGACAUGAGACUAUGGUUAGAAUUGUGAAAUGGGAGAAACCUAGUCAACCUUUGCUUAAACUUAAUACGGAUGGUAGUGCACUUAGAAUUCCUGGAAAAAUUGGUGGAGGGGAAUCUUGAGAGACCAUCAUGGGAGGAUGAUUUAAGCAUUAACUAUUCCUUUAGGAAUAGGUACCAACAACCAAGCUGAAAUCCAAGCUGCUAGCCAUGGUCUGUACUGGUGCAUCCAACAUGGCUAUCAGAAAAUACACUUGGAAGUUGACUCUGAAUUAGUCAUUAAGUGGCUUUCAAAACAGAUCACACUCCCCUGGAUCCUACAACAAUACAUUAGGGAACUACAAAACCUUAUCCAACAAUUGGAGCAGUUCAAAUGCACACACACCUACAGAGAAGCAAACAACACUGCUGAUUAUCUAUCCAAAUUUAGCCAUACUUCAGACAUCAUCCAGCAUUUUUACAUCAAGCAACAACUUCCUAUACUAGCAAAUGGAAGUUUCAUUUUGGAAAUACUAGACAUGUCAACCUUCAGAAGAAAGAGACUGAAAAGAAUUAAGAACCCUCCCUGAUCUUGAACCUGUUCUACUGGGAUUUCCUGUUUAGGUUUCCAGUUUUCUAGGUUUUUAUUCUUGUCUUACUUUUGUAAGGGGGGAGUCUCCCUUGUUUUAUUCUUGUCUUACAUAUGUAAGGGGAGAGUCUCCCUUAUUUAUGUUUCCUAGUUUCUUUAUAUCGAGAGGAGUCCUUUCUUCUAGGUACGUAAAUAUUAGGUUUCAUCUUUCUAAUAUAGGGAUGAGUGGACUUUCCUUAGUAGGAAGGACUAUUCUGAACCACCAUAAGACCGGAGGUAAGGUUUAUGUCCCCCUCCUUGUACUCUGUUUCUUUUAUUUAUGCUAAGGCCUGCGGGUAUUGCUAAGCCCCUGACGCCCCUAAAGGUCGUUCAAAUUAUAAGAAAAAACAAAAAAAAACCUAAAAAACCCUAAACCCUAAACCUUAAGAAACCCUAAAUCUUAUAUACCCUAAAAAUACUCUAAAACCCAUUUAAAAUCCCUACAAAACCCAAAGCUCUAAACCUUAAAUCCAAAAAAUUUGUAAACCCUAAGCCUAAAAAAGACAAAAAAAAAACCUAAGCCCUAAACCCCAAACCCUAAGAAACACUUGACCCUUAAAAACCCAAAAAAAACUUAAACCUAGAAAACUCUAAGCUCUAAACCCUAUUAAGCCAUAAAUAAUAUAUGCUAAAUCCUACAAAACACAACAAACAUUAAGCACUAAACCCUAAACAUUUAAAACCCUAAAAAACCUAAACCUAAAAAACCCAAAUCCCUAAACCCUAAAAACCUAGAUAAGACCAUUAAUCUAAAACCCUAAACAUUAAAAACACCUAAGCCCUAAACCCUAAACCCUAACCUACAACCCUAAAUCCUAAACCUAAAACCCUAAACCUUAAGAUAGACUAAAUCCUAUAAACCCUAAAAUAAAAAACCAUUUAAAACACCUACCAAACCCCCCUAAAUAUUAAAAACUAGUAAACCAUAAACCUAAAAAUCACAAAAAUACCCUAAGCCCUAUAACCUAAACCUAUAAAACCUUGAAAAAACUUAACUCAAAAAACCCUAAAAACCUAGAUAAAAUCCUUAACCUAAAUUCCUAAAUAUAAAACAACCCUAAGCCCUAAACCCUUAUAAAGCCCUAAAUUGUAUAUGCUAAACCCUAAAAAACACAAAAAAAAAAUCCUAAGCCCUAAACCAUAAACCUAUCAAAUCCUAAUAAACCUUAACCUAAAAAACCCAAAUCGCUAAACCCUAAAAACGUAGAUAAAAACCUUAACCCAAAACCCUAAUCCUAAAAAAAUCCUAAGCCUAAAAAAACCCUAAGCCCUAAACCCUAAACACUAACCUAAAACCCUAAAUCCUAGACCUAAAACCCUAAGAAUCCCUAAACCCUAAACCUUAAGAACCCUAGCUACAAAAUACCCUAAAAACCGUUUAAACCCCAACAAAACCCACCUUCAACCUAAAAAAUCCAAAAAAACCUAAACCGUAAGAAACACUUAAUCCUUAAAACUCAUAAAAACCCCUAAACCUAAAAACCUCUAAACUCUAAACCAUAUAAAGCCUAAAUCGUAUAUGCUAAAGCCUAAAAACACAAAAAAACCCUAAGCCCUAAACACUAAACCUAUAAAACCCUAAAAAAACUUAACCUAAAAAACCCAAAGCCCUAAACCCUAAAAACCUAUAUAAAACGGUUAAACUAAAACUCAAAAUUGAAAAAAACCCUAAGCCCAAAACCCUAAACCUUAACCUAAAACCCUAAAACCAUAAGAAACCCUAAAUCCUACAAACCCAAAAAUAUACCCUAAAACCAUUUAAAGCCCCUACAAAACCCUAACCUCUAAAUCCUAAAUCCUAAAAAUCUAUAAACCCUAAACCUGAAAACACACAAAAACCCUAGGCUGUAACCCUAAAUCUUAAAAAACCCUAAGAAACACUUGACCCUAUAAAAACCCAAAACCCCUAAACCUAAAAAACUCUAAGCUCUAAAUCCUAUAAAGCCCUAAAUCGUAUAUGCUACAUACACAAAAAACCCUAAGCCGUAAACCCUAAAUCUAUAAAAUCCCUAAAAUCCUUAACCUAAAAAACCCAAAGCCCUAAACCUAAAACACUAGAAAAAACCUUGUACCUAAAACCCAAAACCUAAAUACCCCCUAAAUUCAAAACCUAAAACCCUAAGUAACACUAAACCUUAAACCUUAAGAAACCCUAAAUCGUAUGAACCCUAAAAUAAACCCUAAAACCCUUAGCUUUAAACCCUAAAUCCUAAAUUCCGUAACCCUAAACCUAAAACACAAAAAAACACCUAGGCCAUAAACCCUAAACCCUAAAAAAACCCUAAGAAACACUUAACCCUGAACCCUAAAACCCCCAAACUUAAAAUCUGUAAGAUAUAAACCCUAUAAUGCCCUAAAUUGUAUAUUCUAAACCUUUAAAAACAAAACAAAAACCCAAAAUCCUAAACUCUAAACUUAUAAAACCCUAAAAAACUUUAACCUAAAAACCCAAAGCCCUAAACCCUAUAAACCUAGAUAAAUCCUUAACCUAAAACCCUAAACCUAAAAAAACCUAAUACCCAAACCCUAAACCCUAACCUAAAACCCUAAAUCCUAAACCUAAAACCCUAAGAAACCGUAAACCCUACACCCUAAACCUUAAGAAACCCUAAACUCUAUAAACCCUAAAAACCAUUCAAAACCUCUAAAAACCCUAAGCUCUAAACCUUAAAUCUUAAAGAUUCGAAAACUCUAAACUUAAAAAACACAAAAAAAUCCUAAGCCCUAAACCCUAAACCCUAAACCCUAAACCUUAAGAAACCCUAAAAACCAUUCAAACUCCCUACAAAACUCUAAGCUCUACACCUUAAAUCUUAAAGAUUCAUAAACUCUAAACCUAAAAAAAGACCCAAAAAAUCCUAAGCCCUAAACCCUAAACCCUAAAAAACCCUAAGAAACAUUUAACCCUUAAAAACUCUAACAAAACCCGGAAACCCCUAAACCAAAAAAACUCUAAGCUCUAACCCUAUAAAACCCUAAAUCAUAUAUGCUAAACCAUAAAAACAUUUAAAAAAAAACCCUAAAUCCUAAACCUAAAAUCCUAAGAAACCCCAAAUCUUAUAAACCUUAAGAAACCCUAAAUCUUAUAAACCCUUAAAACCCCUAAAAACCAUUUAAAAUCCCUACAAAACCCAAAUCUCUAAACCUUAAAUCCUAAAAAUCCGUACACCCUAAACCUAAAAAACACAAAAAAAAACCCUAAGCCUUAAACCCUAAACCUAAUAACCACAAUAAACCCCUAAGCCCUAAAUCCUAAAUCCUAAAAAUCUGUAACCCUAUACCUAAAAACACACAAAAAACUAUAAGCCAUUAAUCCUAAAUCCUAAAAAACCCUAAGAAUUAGUUAAGCCUUAAAAACCCUAAAAAAACCCAAAAACACCUAAAUAUAAAAUAAUAUAAGCUCUAAACCCUAUAAAGCCUUAAAUUGUAUAUGCUAAAUCCUAAAAAACACAAAAAAAAAAACCUACGCCCUGAACUCUAAACCUAUAAAACUCUAAAAAACCUUAACUUAAAAAACCCUAAAGACCUAGAUAAAAAUGUUAACCUAAAUCCCCUAAACCUACAAAAAAACCUAAGCCUUAAACCCUAAACCUAAACCUAAACCUAAACCCUGAAUCCUAAACCUAAAACCCUAAGAAUCCCUAAACCUUGAACUUUUAGAAACCCAAAAUCCUAUUAUCCCUAAAAAGCCCUAAACACCAUUUAAAACCCAUACAAAACCCUAAGCUCUAAACCGUAAAUCCUAAAAAUCCAAAAACCCUAAACAUAAAAAAUACAAAAAAAAACUAGGCCCUAAACCUUAAACACUAUAAAACCCUAAGAAACACUUAACCCUUAAAAACCAAAAACCCCUGAACCUAAAAAAACUCUAAGCUCUAAACCCUAUCAAGCCUUAAAUCGUAUAUGCUGAACCCUAAAAAAUCCAAGAAAAACCCUAAGCCCUAAGCCUUAAACCAUAAACAUAUAAAACCCUAAAAAACCUAAACCUAACCUUUAUCAUAAACCUAAAACCCUAAACUAUAAACCCUAAGAACCCUGAAUCCUAUAAAACCUCAAAAUAAACCCUAAAAUCCAUUUAAAAGCCCUACAAAAUCCUAAGCUCUAAACCCUAAAUCCUAAAAAUCCGUAAACCUAAACCUAAACCUAAAAUACACAAAAAAAAAACCUAAGCCCUAAACUCUAAAAACCCUAAGAAACACUUAACCCCUACACACCCUAAAAAACCACAAAAACCCUAAACCUAAAAACACUUUAAGCUCUAAACCCUAUUAAGCCCUAAAUCGUAUAUGCUAAACCCUAAAGAAUCCAAGAAAACCCCUAUGCCUUAAACCUAUAAAACCCUAAAAAACCUAAGCCUAACAAACCCAAACCUUUAUCCAAAACCUAAAACCCUUAGAAACCCUAAAUCGUAAACCUUAAGAAACCCUAAAUCAUAUAAAACCUCAAAGGAACCCUAAAAUCCAUUUAAAACCCCUACAAAAUCCUAAGCUAUAAAUCAUAAAUCCUAAAAAUUUGUACACCCUAAACCUAAAAAACAAAAAAAAACCCUAACCCCUAAAUCCAAUAAACCCUAAGAAACACUUAACCCCUACACACCCUAGAAAACCCAAAAUCCCCUAAAUCUAAUAAACUCCAAGCUCUAAACCCUAUAAAGACCUAAAUCGUAUAUGUUAAACCCUAAGAAACACAAAAGGACCCUAAGGCCUAAACUCUAUAUCUAUAAAACCCUAAAACAACCUUAACCUAAAAACCCUAAAACCUAGAUAAAACCCUUAACCCAAAAUCCUAAACAUAAAAAAUCCCUAAACCUAAACCGUGAACCCUACAUUCAACCACACAUAACCGAAAUAUGACCUCAAUGACAAGAUGAAUAUUAAGACUAUCGGACAACUAUCAAUAUCCAUGGGAGAUCUAUAAAUUCUCGUAAGCAAAGUGAUAAAUGUAGAACCACUCAAAUACUUCAACUACUCUAAGACAAUACUAAAUAUGUCAUAUCUAAAAUAACCAAGUUUGUCCAAACAGCCUACCCUACUAAGAGGGAAUCGUAGGAUUGGUACACCUGAUCCACCACUAGGGUUCACCCAUAUAAGUUAAAACAUGCAUGGGCAUAGAUAGUGAAUCAUACUCCAAAUCAUAUCCAGGACUAAAUUGGUGGUCACAUAAGAAUAUCCAGAAUAAAGGUUGAAUAACUCAAGAUACUCCUUAGAUAGUGCUCAUGUCAAACAUUUCCAUUCAUUUCACUCUAUCGCCUUGUUUUUUUGCCACCAACAAUCAAUAAGUUCGGUCUUUAUUACAAUCAUACACAUAUUUGAUUUAUCAAAACCAUACAUACUUCUCACAAUACUCAAUUGAAGCCAACACUCUUAAUACUAACAAACAUCAUAAGUACAUCGUCCAUUUACCAUACUCUCAAACUGUCACUCAUAUAAAAUUCUUCUUAGCAAACACAUUGUCGCCUCUAAUAAUUUCAAAUUAUGGCUCCCUCUCUUUCCAUUUAAACAUCCCAUGCUAGAUACAGGUCACAAGGCUGAUAGAACUAAUUUCAAAUCUAAUAGUACUCUAUCAUCGAGAUAGAACUAUUGAAUCACACCCAAUGUCGACUCUACACAGUGUUUCAUAUACCUAAUUUCAAAUACCAUUCAAACCAUUAUACACCUCAUACCAACACUUAAGAAAUUCUUGGUCAUGUUUAUAUACUAGGAGCACAUAACCUCUAUUUACUAUCAAGUGUCUAUGUAACACAGCACAUCAGCGUGUGUAGUCUCAUUUAAAAUAGUAGUUUCACUCCCCUCGAAAUUCUCAAUAACCAUGUAUAACUGUAGGUGUAGAGUGUUGGGCAUCCAUAAGUCACCUACCAUAAUUUCAACCAUUUAUCCCCACAUAACAACACAUAAACCCUAAAAUCCAUUUAUAAACACUAAGAAACCCUAAAUCGUAAGAAUUUGUCAACCCUAAACCUAAAAAACACAAAAAAAUCCCUAAGCCCUAAACCUUAAACACUUAAGAAACACUUAACCCUCAAAAACCCUAAAAAACACAAAAAACCCUAAACCUAAAAAACUCUAAGCACUAUACUCUAUAAAGCCCUAAAUCUUAUAUGUUAAACCGUGAAAAAAAAACACAAAAAGUUCAAAAUCCCUAAACCCUAAAAACCAUAAUCUAAAAAACCUAACCCCUAAACCCUAAAAACGUAGAUAAAACCCUAACAACGUAGAUAAAACCCUUAACCUAAAACCCUAAACCAAAAAAAAACAUAAGCCCUAAACCCUAACCUAAAACCAUGAAUCCUAAACCUAAGACCCUAAGAAACCCUAAACCCUAUACAUAAAGGAACCCUAAAUCCUAUAAACUCUAAAAUAAACUUUAAAAACAAUUCAAAACCCCUACAAAACACUAAGCUCUAAACCCUAAAUCCUAAAAAUCCAGAAACCCUAAACAUAAAAAACAUAAAAAAAAACUUAAGCCCUAAACCCUAAACCAUAAAAAGCACUAAGAAAUACUUAACCCUUAAAAGCAAAAAAUCCCUUAUCCUAAAAAACUCUAAGCUCUAAACCCUUUAAGGCCCUAAAUCGUAUAUGCUAAACCCUAAAAAACACAAAAAAAAAAACGCGCCCUAAACCCUAAAUCUAUAAAAAAAAACCUAAAAAAACCUUCAGACAAAAAACCCAAAGCCCUAAACCAAAAACUCCAGAUAAAACCCUUAACCUUAAACCCUCAACCUAAAAACCCCUAAAUUCUAUACCCUAAAACCUAAAGAAACCCUAAAACUUAAACCAUAAGAAACCCUGAAUCCUAUAAACCCUAAACUAAACAUAAAACACAUUUAAAACCUCUAGUCUCUAAACCCUAAAUCCUAAAUAUCCGUAAACCUAAAUAAAAAAAACACAAAAAAACCUAAGUGAUAAACCCUAAACCCUAAGAAACACUUAACCCUUAAAAACCCCUAAACCUAAAAUAUUAUAAGCUCUAAACCCUAUAAAGCCCUAAAUCGUAUAUGAUAAGUCCUAAAAAAUACAAAAAAACUCUAAUCCCUAUACCCUAAACCUAUAAAACCCUGAAAAAGCUUAACUUAAAAACCCUAAAAACCUAGAUAAAACCCUUAACCUAAAUCCCUACACCCUAAACCCUAAACCCUAAACCCUAACCUAAAAUAGUAAAUCCUAAACCUAAAACCCUAAGAAACCCUAAACCCAAAACCUUUAGAAACCCGAAAUCCUAUAAUCCCUAAAAAACCCUAAAAUCCAUUUAAAACCCCUACAAAACCAUAAGCUCUAAACCUUAAACCCUAAAAAUCCAUAAACCCUAAACCUAUAAAACACAAAAAAAGACCCUAAGCCUUAAACCCUAAACCCUAAAAAAUCCUAAGAAAUACUAAACCCUUAAAACCUUUAAACCUAAAAACCUCUAAGCUAUAAAACCUAUAAAUCCCCAAAUCGUAUAUGCUAUAACCCAAAGAAACCCUAAACCCUAAACCAUAAGAAACCCUAAAUCCUAUAAACCUUAAAAUAAACUCUCAAACCAUUUAAAACCCCUACAAAACCCUAAGUUUAAAACCCUAAAUCCUGAAAAUCCGUAAAACCUAAACUUAAAGAACACAUAAAAAACCCUAAGCCCUAGACCCUAAAAAACCGUAAGAAACACUUAAACCUUAAAGAUCCUAAGAAACGCUUAAACUUUAAAAUCCUAAAAAACCCAAAAACCCCUAAACCUAAAAAAGUCCAACCUCUAAACCCUAUAAAGCCCAAAUAGUAUAUGCUAAACUCUAAAACACACCAAAAAUAACCCAAAGACCUAAACCCUAAACCUAUGAAACACUAAAAAACCUUAACCUAAUAUCCCUAAGCCUUCAACCCUAAAAAAUAGAAAAACGCCAUAACCUAAAGCCAUAAACCUAAAAACUCCCUAAGCCCAAAACCUUAGCCUAAAACUCUAAAUCCUUAACCUAAAACCCUCAGAAACCCUUAAGCCUAAACCGUAAGAAACCCUAAGUCCUAUAAACCCUAAAAUAAACACUAAAAACAAUUUAAUACCCCUAAAAAACCUAAGCUCUAAACCAUAAAUCCUAAAAUUCCAUAAAAAUUCUAUACUCUAAAUCCUAUUAAGCCUAAAAUUGUAUAUGCUAAACCCUAAAAAACACAAAAAAAAACCUAUCCCCUAAACCCCAAACCUAUAAAACCCUAAAAAACCCAAAAACCUAAACCCUAAAAACCUAGAUAAAAUCCUUAUCCUAAAACCCUAAGCCUGAAAUCUUAAACCAUAACCUGAAACCCUAAAUCCUAAACCUAAAACCCUAAGAAAUCCUAAACCCUAAAUCUUACGAUACCCUAAAUCCCAUAAACCCUAAAAACCAUAUAUAACCACUAAGAAAUCCUAAACCCUAAGAAAUCCAAAAUACAAAAAAUCUGUAAACCCUAAACCUAAAAAAUACAAAAAAUCCCUAAGCCCUAAACCUUAAACCCUAAGAAACACUAAACCCUUAAAAACCCAAAAACCCCUAAACUCAAAAAAAAACUCUAAGCUCUAAACCCUAUAAAGACCUAAAUCGUAUAUGUUAAACACUAAAAACCACAAAAAAAAAACCUAAGCCAUAAACCCUAAAAAACGUUAACCUAAAAAAACCAGAACCCCUAAACCAUAAAAAAACUAGAUAAAAUCCUUAACCUAAAACCCUAAACCUAAAAAAACACUAAGCCCUAAACCCUAAAUCCUUACCUAAAUCGUAAAUCUAAAAGCCUCAGAAACCCUAAACCUUAAGAAAACUAUAUCCUAUAAACCCUAAAAACCUUUUAAAAUUCCUACAAAAUCCUAAGCUCUUAACUAUAAAUCCUAAAAAUCGGUAAACCCUAAACCUAAAAAUAAAAAUUUAAAACCCUAAGCCCUAAACCAUAAACCCUAAAAAAUCCUAAGAAACACUUAACCUUCAAAAACCCUAAAAAAUACAAAAACACUUAAAUGUAAAAAACUCUCAGCUCUAAAGUACUCUAUAAAGCCCUAAAUCUCAUAUGUUAAACCUUAAAAAACACAAAAAGUCCCGAAUCCCUAAGCCCUAAAAAAACCAUGAACUAAAAAACCUAAGCCCUAAACCCUAAAAAUCUAGAUAAAACCCUUAACCUAAAAGCCUAAACCUAAAAAAACCAUAAGCCCUAAACCUUAACCUAAAACCAUAAAUCCUAAACCUAAGACCCUAAGAAACCCUAAACCCUAAACCUUAAGAAACCCUAAAUCCUAUAAACUCUAAAAGAAAUCCUAAAAACCAUUCAAAACCCUAAGUUCUAACCCUAAAUCCUAAAAAUCCGUUAACCCUAAACAUAAAAAUAUAUAAUAAAAAAAACUUAAGCCCUAAAGCCUAAACCGUAAAAAAUCCUAAGAAAUGCUUAACCCUUAAAAGCCUUAAAAACCAACAAAUCCCUUAACCUAAAAACCUCUAAGCUCUAAACCCUAUAAAGCCCUAAAUCGUGUAUGCUAAAUCCUAAAGAACAGACAAAAAAACCCUAAGCCCUAAACCCUAAAUCUAUAAAAUCCUAAAAAAAAAACUUAACACAAAAAACCCAAACCCUAAACCUAAAACCCUAGAUAAAACCCCUAACCUAAAACCCUAAACCUAAAAAACCCCUAAAUUUUAUAACCUAAAAACCCCUAAAACCUAAAAAACCCCCUAAAUUUUAUAACCUAAAACCCUAAGAAGCCCUUAAACUUAACCCUAUAAAUCCCAAAAUCGUAUAUGCUAUAACCCUAAGAAACCCUAAACCCUAAACCAUAAGAAACCCUAAACCCUAAACCAUAAGAAACCCUAAAUCCUAUAAACCAUAAAACAACCAAUAAAACCAUUUGAAACCCCUACAAAACCCUAAGCUCUAAACUCUAAACCUAAAAUCUGUAAACCAUAAACCUACAAAACACAAAAAACCCUAAGACCUAAACCCCAAACCCUAAGAAACAGUUAAACCUUAAAAACCCUAAAAAAACCCUAACAAACACUUUAACCUUAAAACCAUAAAAACUCAAAAACCCCUAAACAUAAAAAACUCCAAGCUCUAAACCCUAUAAAUCACUAAGUAGUAUAUGCUAAACCCUAAAACACACCCAAAAAAAAUACUAAUCCUUAAACCCUAAACCUAAAAAUACUUAACAUAAAAUUCCAAAGCCCUAAACCCUAAAACAUAGAUAAAACCCUUAACCUAAAAAAUCCCUAAGUCCUAAACCCUAUACACUAACCUAAAACCCUAAAUCCUAAACCUAAAACCCUAAGAAACCCUUAACCAUAAACCUUAUGAAACCCUAAAUCCUAUAAACCCUAAAAUAAACACUAAAAACCAUUUAACACCCCUAAAAACCCCUAGGCUCUAAACCAUAAAUUCUAAAAUUCCAUAAACCCUAAACCUUAAAAGCACAAAAAAAAACCUAAUCCAUAAACACUAAAUCGUAUAAAACCCCAAAAAAUACUUCACCCUUAAAACCCUAAAAAACCCAAAAAGCCCUAAACCAAAAAAACUCUAAGCUCUAAACCCUAUAAAGCCCUAAAUCAUAUAUGCUAAAUCCUAAAAAAUAAAAUGUAACCCUAAGCCUUAAACUCUAAACCUAUGAAACCCUGAAAAACCUUACAUGAAAAACCAAAAUCCGUAAACCCUAAAAAACUAGAUAAAACCCUUAACCCAAAACACUAAACCUAAAAAAUCCCUAAGCCCUAAGCCCUAAACCCUAAACCUAAAGCCCUAAGAAACCCUAAACCUUAAGAAACCCUAAAUAAUAUAAACCCAAAAAUAAACCUUAAAACCAUUUAAAACACCUACAAAAUCCUGAGAUCUAAACCCAAAUCAUAAUAAUCCGUAAACCCAAAACCUAAAAAUCCAAAAAACCCUACGAAACACUUAACCCUUAAAACCCUUAAAAAAUAUAAAAACUCCUAAACCUAAAAAUCUCUAAGCCCUAAACCCUAUAAAGCCCUAAAUCGUAUAUGCUAAUUCCUAAAAAACACCAAAAGCCCCUGAGCCCUAAACCCUAUACACUAACCUAAAACCCUAAAUCCUAAACCUAAAACCCUAAGAAACCCUUAACCCUAAACCUUAAGAAACCCUAAAUCCGAUAACCCCUAAAAUAAACACUAAAAACCAUUUAAUACCCCUACAAAACCCUAAUCUCUUAACAAUAAUUCCUUAAAGGCCGUCAACCCUAAACCUAAGACACACAAAAAACUCUAAACCAUAAACCAUACACCCUAAAGCGUAUAAAACCCUAAGAAACACUUUACUCAUAAAACCCUAAAAAACCCAAAAACCCCUAAACCUAAAAAAUUCUAAGCUAUAAACCCUAUAAAGCCUUAAAUCAUAUAUGCCAAAGCCAAAAAAACACAAUAUUACCCUAAGCCCAAAACCCUAACCUAAAAAACCCAAAGCCCUAAACCCUAAAAAACUAGUUAAACCCUUAACCUAAAACACUAAACAUAAAAAAACCCUAAGCCCUAAACCCUAAACCCUAAACCUAAAACCCUAAAUCCCUAAGAAACCCUAAAUAAUAUAAACCCCUAAAAUAAACCCUAAAAUCCUUUAAAACCCCUACAAAACCCUAAGAUGUAACCCUAAAUCCUAAAAAUCCGUAAACCCAAAACUAGAAACACACAAAAAACCACUAAGCUCUUAACCUAAAACCCUAAGAAACACUUAACCCUUAAAAAACCUAAAAAACACAAAAAAACCCUAAACCUAAAAAACUCUAAGCUCUAAACCCUAUAAAUCCCUAAAUCUUAUAUGCUAAACCCUAAAAUAAUAUAAAAAAUCCCUCAGCACCAAACCCUAAACCCUAAACCUAAAAAUCCCAAAGCCCUAGACCCUAAACCCUAAAAACCUAGAUAAAACCCUUAAUCUAAACCCUAUACCUAAAAAAUCCCUAAGUCCUAAACCCUGAACCCUAACCUAAAUCCCUAAAUCCUAAACCUGAAACCUUAAGAAACACUACAAGAAAAAUGAUUUUUAACGACCAAAUUUUAACGAAAGAAUAUAAUUCCGGCCGUUAUGAGUAUAUUUACAACGUCAAUUUUUUUUCUAUUCAUUAAAAGACAAUUUUAAUGUUGUAUUAAUAAGGCAACAAUAUUCGCACCUCAAAUUUUUUUAUAUCCAGACGUUAAUAAUGAAAAAUUGACACAUAUUUUUACUUUUCCCUUUUAUUUUUAACAAAAGAAUUAUUAUACCCCACCCCUAUAGCUCGUCUCCCAUUAUCCCCAUCCCCCUACUGAUGGUCUCACGUUAUCCCCCACCCCUAUGUAAGAAAACAUAACAAAGAACUGAUCUCGAUUUCUCCGCAGACGCUCACGCUCACGCACACCCACUCCCCCACCCCUGCGAAAGGAUGCGUAUGUUUCUCCACCAGAACGUGUCUUCCAUAUUCUCUGUUACCUAAGGGAGUUAAUAACUCAAAUUAGUCCUUAAUCAGAGUGACUCUUAAGUUCCAUUGCAGAACUGAUUUGCUCGAGAAAUAUCAGCAAAGCACACCACAAUAAUGGUAAUACCGUUCCUAAAAUUCAAGUUUGUUUGCGAAAAUUAAGCUAUAGCCCUCUGUUGAAGCUCUUUAUAAAGGAAAUCAAUGUCUAUUUUUUCUAAUUGCAGAAGUUAACUUUUUCUUUUAACUUCAAAUUUCACCUGAGUUUUGUUGGUCUUAGCUGCGUGUGAUAGUAACUUGACAUAUUCUUGGAUUUUCCUUCUCUUCAAAGUAUGUUUAGGUUGUUUUGACUAUGAAUUGUUAUGUCAAAAUUCUGAUUUUAACCAUUUUUGUGUUUAUUCUUUAUGAUUCAUUAGUUUUUUCAGUAGGUUUUUGGUGCACAUGCUCUUAAAUUAUGUAUACUAGUCAUUAUUACAGGCAUAUGUUUGUGGGUAUUGAUGUGUGUACUGUUGGUAGCCUCGAUUGACAAUUAAAAGAAGUCCCAAUAAUGAAAUUAUUAAAUAAUUUGUUAGUCUCAUAAUUUAUAGGUUUUCUUAUUCCUGUUUUGUUAGGUUUUCUUAUUCCUGUUUUCUAAGGUUUUCUUAUUCCUGUUUUCUUUAUAUUAUAUUUGUUAUUGUUCUGGUCAUAACAAAGUAAAGCUGUAGAACUAAUAUGAAUUCAAAAUACUAUCUUUUCAAUAACCAAAUGAGUGGCCGAGGACCUGACCUUCUAUGUACAUAAGAUGCUUUACAAUCUUUAAAAAAAUGUAGCAAGGAGAAAUUUUAUAUAAUCUUUUUGUUAAUCUAUGGUAACUUUAAUUCUGUAACUUACAAAAAAGAUUAGUUUUGUUACACCAAGUGUAAUGUAAGAAAUUCGACCCUAGUCUUAUUGGUAUUGUUGUAUCUGUGUUGCUUUAUUACUUUAUGAUUAUUUUGUAUCAUCUACAAGAACAGGUAAACAUCUUGAAUUUUCCCAUCAAGGUGGGGAAUAAGAAAUGGCUGAACUGUCACUGUGCAAACUUUGAAAACUUGGCUGAAUAUAAUAUUCACUUGCAGGAAGCCUUGUUUUAGCUUAGCUGCAUUAUAAAAAUAUGGCUCUUCUUUUAAGGAGAUUUGAAAAUGUUACUUCUCCACCAAAAAGGAGCAUACCCCACUUACUCAACUUUUGUUUUUCUUACUUUUCUUUUGAGUUCGUUCAACAAUAACGUUCUAUAAUCUUUCUUUUUAGCAACUCUUUAGUUUCAAAUAUCCACGUAACAUAUCUAUGAUCACAAAAUUAAAGGAUAUUUUAAUACGUUCUACGUAUCUUUUAGUUUAAGACCAUAAUAUUCUAAAGUUUUGUGUUUUCUUUCUUAAGCUCUUUAUCAUUUCAAAACCAGAGAGUUUUGUCUGUCACACUUAAGAGGUUCACUUUCCACAUUCAUUAGUAACUCAAAUCACUCUCUUUCCAUACCUUUCAUUAUGUCAUGUUCUAACAAAAUCUUUCUAUUGUUUCUUUCAUUUCUUCUAAUUCAUCCUCUUGAAUCUGUUCCUAGUAUCAUCCCACUAAACGGUUCAUAUACUGAUAAAUGUGGUAAAUCUUUUUAUUGUUUCUUUCAUUUCUUCUAAUUCAUCCUCUUGAAUCUGUUCCUAGUAUCAUCCCACUAAACGGUUCAUAUACUGAUAAAUGUGGCAACAUUGUCCAAAAAUAUCCCUUAGGUUUUGGUUUUGGUUGUGGAUCCUGCAUUUCAAGAUUCAUAAAAUGCACUACUUCUAGAGUUCUUCAAUUUUCACUACCUCUGGCAUUUAUACUAAAUCCUCACUAGACUACUCAACCAACACACUUGUUUUAACUAACCCCUUUAUGUCAACAUGUUCCUCAUUGCAGAAUUCAGGUAGUUUUUACAUUGGAUAAUGAUGAUUCAACUUCCUUUAUUAUUAUAAAAUAGAACAUGUUUGUUUUACUAGGAUGUUCAACAAUAUCUAUUGUGUUUGAUCCAAAAUAGGACUUGUGUGAUAGCGGUUUGGGUUCAAAUGUGUGCAGGGAAAUGUAUUCUUGUAGAUGGGUGACUGGGAUUGUAUUAGAACCAAAUGUCCAAUUUCAACAUGUUGUGUUUAUGAUCCCCUAUUUCCUGUAGGUUCCUGUUAUGGUUUGAUCUUGCCUAGGCUUCGGUGUUCUUCGUAUUCAUCGAUAUAUGGUUUUGGAUCCUAUGAAAUGGGAGUUUAGGAUUUCUUUGCUGUAUAAUGAUUCAUAUUAUGUUGAUGAGUCUUACAAUAACUGUGAGGAUAUUGUUGGAUCUUGUGGUAUUUCUGGUGCAGAUGAGUCUUUUGCUUGCACUUGUAGGAAUGGUGUCCUAGAGAUGUAUUAAGCCAUUUCUUUGCUAAGCAAUAAAUAACUCACGUUCUAAUAAGGAGUGAUAGCAGCAUCUUGAUGUUACCAUACCAAAACCUCAUUGUCUAUACCUUUUCUAGUCUAUAAAGGUUAUCAUCAUUGUAAUCAUUAGCUGGAAUUCCCCUUCCCUUUCUGGCCAACAUCUUCAAUCUUUUUUUUCCUUUAUUUUGUACCUGAAUUAGUGUAGUUGUUGCCUUACCCUUCCAAAUAGUUUUAGUUAAUGAAUAAGACAAAUCUGUCAGUAUUAAUAAAUCACUCUCCGCUAGCAUCUCCAUUAAAUUCAAUUCUCGUUGAUCCAACUACUGGCUUUGGUUUUUUAUUCCUUCUACAGCAUUGUCAUUUCCUAAGAAUCAGCUAUUGGCUUGGGUGACAGCUUCUGGUGGUCCAUGACUUGGGCUACGUCAACUUUUCAAAAUUUAAUAGUAUGUGGUAUUAUAAGCAUGAUUAAACUCUACUAUUUACUAUUCAAAUGCAUAGCCUGCUAACGAUUAAAAAAUUCAUAUCUCUGUUUAAUAUAAUUUCAGACGUGGGAAAAGUGUUGUAUAUUAAUAUAUCAAAUAGCACUAAAUCAAUAACUAUGUUUAAAGAGUUUUUUCAUGUGGAGUUCUGACCGUAAAUACAUGUUCUUUCCCUAUGUAUCAUCUACUUUGACAAUCCAGUGGCUUGUUUUCUUUGAAACUCCAAACUCACUGUCUCUCUUUGUCAUUCUAGUCACCCAUAAACCUUCUCCUAUAGGUAACAAAUAAGCAUUGAAGUUUUCAGAUCUCCAUGAUCCCCCAUUCACAACACGUUAUACCCCAUAUCAAUUUUAUCUUCUUAAAUGUCAGUACCAGGGAAUUUACCUAACAGAUUCAACAACUUUGUUACUGAUGUUAUUUCCCAAUCAUUAAGUAGCCUCCAGAAAGUCAAAUUCCACCCUUGUGAUGACCAUAUUUCUUGUAUGCUACACUUAGGGUUAACACAUCCUUUCUGUUCUCCAUGUAUUCUUUUUUUCUUUGAAAUUGGAUGAACUCUUUGAAAUAGGAAAUAUACAUUAUUGGAAAGCUAUACUGAAAUUUUGUCUAUGUGAUAGUACUUCUAAGGUUGUGUUGUUGGAAGAACUGAAAACAACUCGAAAAGAAAGGGAAUCACUACAAAAGCGUAUCGAUAUUCUAGAGAGUAAAUAUGAUCGCCUUGAAAGUAUAGUGGUUCGUCAGCAUACAUCAUCUCCAUUACCUCCAUCACCUCCACCAGGUUAUCAAACUUUUCAUUAGCUAUUCCAUGAUGUGUAUUUUUCAAUGAAUUUAGUGAUGUCAUUAACAAAUGCUCAUCUUUGAUAAGGGCUUUGCUAAUGCAGUGGUCUGUCUUUGUAUGAUAGGUUGAUUUUAGAGGGUAGACAGUCUUUAGUUGUAUUACUUUCCAUGAUGAACAAGACUACAUGCUUAUAGAAUUAUGCGUAUCUCUAUUUUAAUUAGGAUGUAUUCCUUUGUUCUGAACUGAGUUCCUUUUCUGCAAGUUCACCUUAGUAUUUGUGUUGCAUGUUAAAUCCUUAAUGUGUUACAGUUUUAGAAUAAUGAUCUCUAAACUUGAUAAACGUUCUGAAUUAUGUAAAUGCGAAAGAUGUUUAUCUCAUUUUAGUCUAUCUCCAUAAUAAGGUUCACAGUCACAUGUAUAGAACAACUUGUAUUUAUAGAAGAAGUGGUCUAAGGUAGAUAAUACUACUUUCAUCGAUACAUUUCUUAUACUGUUGGAUGUUUGUUUCUUGGUAAUCAGAAUAUUUUUUGGUUAGCAGGGAUUUUUCAUUCAUAACGAAACUAUUUAGUACAAACAAAGCAGUGAUGGCCUAACUGCUAUAUAUCAUUCUAGCCUAUCUAUAUUACUAUUCAUUAUGACAUACAAAGCAAGAAUCAUUUUAAGUUUAUUACACUGUAAAAAUGCCUUGGGAUAUAGAUUUAGAUUUUGACGUACAGGCAACCAGUUUGCCUUUUGCUAGUCGCGGAGAUGAAUAUGCAUCACGACCUCCCUCAAGACCAUUUUUGGGCACAUUCUUUCCUUUUGGAAUCUGAUUUUGUUCCUUCUCUAUAUAACAUAGACUAGCAUGACAAACACACUAGUAGAAAUUUUUGGCUCGUCCUACACUCUUUUUGCAAUAUCACUGAUUCCAGCCCAUUCUAUUCUCUGGUAAAAAAUAACCCUGUGAAAUCCCAACCAGCUGCAAAAUCUACCCCAUAAAAGUCUGAUCAAAAGUUUCCCCUAUUUUACAACAAAACACAGUCAUGUGGCAUUUGUAUACUAAUUUUUUCAAGCAUGUCUACUUUUGCUAGUCUUCUUUGGACAGUCAGCCACAUAAUAAACUUGAACCUAGGGUGCACUCCAAGUUGGAAGGUAGUACUCUUCCACUCAAGUCUGGGAAAUAUGGUCAUAAGAUAGGUAUACAUCUUCUAAGUGGAGAACUUGACUCCCCUCUGUACCUUUGCAAACUCAGCCAUCAAAGCACCCUAACUAGUUUGUCCUUGUAACAAUACAUCUCCAAACCCCAAUAUAUUCCUCACUAUCCAUGAUGCAGAUUUAGGUAUGAGGAUAGUUUCAAUUCCCCUUCUUUUGAUAAAAUAACUGUGUACCCAUCAGAUACAUAGACAGUCCUUCUUUCUUGCUACAUUCUGCAAUUGCUAAUUAAGAAUUAAGUAUUGCUACAAGUUAUAGUGAGUUCUUGAAAAGUAUUGUACAUUUGCUUUGCUUCUUACUUAUAUGCUUUGUUUGCUGAAGAAUCUGCAAGAAAAUUCCCCUCAUUCUAAACAUGUAUGACUCGGAUGUUGAAUAGUUGUUGGAGUAUGCUUAUUUAUAGAUAUGUAACUGCCAUAUACCUACUUACAUAACUCAAAAAAUUAAAAGCUACAUCUAUCUAAUAAAAGUCUGGCUGUGCAGUAGCUCUAACAGAACAAACACAAGCAACUCUACAGGUUAUAUCUUCCAUUGUAGCCUCAUUCCUCUCAAAACCUUUAGUAUUCAUGUCCUUCAAAUUAAAUUGCAUGAAUGAAUUCUGUAUAGUCUAGUUGAAUAGUUGAGCCUGGUGGAUUUCUCCAAAUGCUAAGACACUGUUGGAUCCUCUUUUCAGCAAUAUAGGUGAUGUAUGGAACAUACAUUGUACAUUUGCUUCUAAAAAAUGAGAGAGAUAAUUGAUGUUGAUAUGAUAUAAUUUCUUUAUAAAACAACUUGUAACAACUCAAACAUGUUGGCUCUUGUAUAAAAAUGAUAUUCUUCACUUGGACUAAAUGAUAUAUAGCAAUCUAGAAAAAGGCUUAGAAUGCUUUUUAUGUUGCUUUUAAUUCAUAAAAUGUUUUCUUACCGAAAAAACUUAGUAACAAUUAUUGAAACUAGUUGUCAUGUAACAUAAAAUAGAAAAAAGAUCAAUUGAUCAGGCUUGCUAGACGAGAGAAUAAAUAGUAUCCCAUGUAUUUCUUUCUUACUAUCCAUGAAGCAUGUCUUGUGUUAAUUAGUAUCCCAUGCAUUUCCCCUUUUGGUUGAUUUUUUCAAUAGCUUUCUUUGGGUAUAAUAUUGUGUUUAAAGAUUUGGGCUCUUUGGUGAUUAAAUAAUUGAUUUAUGCUUUAAAAGUUAUAAGUUAUAGCUAUCUGACAUUCUGUUACGAAUUGACCUCAAAUUGUUUUUUAAACAGAUGAAGAAUGUGAUGUAGAUUAAAGAACGUGUUGUUGAAGAAUUGUGGAGCCAGCUGAAAAGAUAGAUUAUAUUUUUAUUGUUGGUGCAUAGCUAGAGACGUUUUAACCUAUGCAACUAUUUCAUUUUCUCAAUUUUUAGGAUUCGAUAGAUGUCGAACAUGUAUGUUAUAAUAUUAUGUCGAACAUCUAUGUUGUUUAGAUCUUAUGUUGAACAUCUAUGUUUUUUAGAUAUUGUGUUGAACGCACAGAUUUAUAUGUAUGUUUUCCAGUGUGUUUUCGUUCAUGGCAAAACAAUUAUGAAAUUUUAUAUUAAAUUUUUUAUGGCUUGUGAAAAAAAAGAAAUGAUAUUAAGAUUUGGAACUGCUUGAGGAACAUAAACACUAUAUAUAAUUAUUUGAAACUAAAUUUGUGAAACAAACUUGGUCGUUAAAUUUAUUAAAAUCAACGAAAGGAAUUUAAACUUGGUCGGUAAAAGUAAUGUAAUCAAUGAAAGAAAUUCUGACCACUAAAGGUACUUAUAACGAUUAGAAUUUUUUGUUUUACUUCAACGUUUAACAACCAAAAGGCCAUCAACAAAGGGAAUUUGUGGUCGUUGUUAGUAAAUGUAGCGACCGGAUUUAUCGUUGUCGUUAAGUGAUAUCUAAUGGCUAUGCAAUCCGAUCGUUAACCUUUAACGACGGAGCUUUUAAUGACCGGUGACGACCAAUUUUUUCCCGGUCGUUAUAGACCUUUAACGACUGGAUAUGGACUUUUAACGACCGGAUUUCCUUACGUUAAAAGGCCUUUUUCUUGUAGUGAAACCCUAAACCCUAAACCUUAAAAAACCUUAAAUCCUACAAUCCCUAAAAUAAACCCUAAAAAUUAUCUAAACCCCUACAAAACCCUAAGCUCUAAACUCUAAAUACAACAAAUCUAUAAACCCUAAACCUAAAAACACAAAAAAAACCUAAGCCUUAAAGCCUAAACCCUAAAAAAUCCUAUGAAACACUUAACCCUUAAAACCCUAAAAACACCCAAAAACCCCCUAAAUCUAAAAAAAACUCUAAGCUUUACACACUAUAAAGCCCUAAAUUGUAUAUGCUAAACCCUAAAAAACACAAAGACGAACCUAAGCCCUAAACUGUAAACCUAUAAAACCCUAAAAAACAUUAACCUAAAAAACCCAAAUCCCUAGACCCUAAAACCCUAGAUAAUACCCUUAAUCUAAAACCCUAAAACUAAAAAAAAACUAAGCCCUAAUCUCUAAACCCUAACCCAAAACCGUAAAUCCUAAACCUAAAACCCUAAGAAUCCUUAAACCCUAAACCUUAAAAAACCCUUAAUUCUUUAAAUCCAAAAAUAAACCAUAAAACCCAUUUAAAACCACUACGAAACCCUGAGCUCUAAACCCUAAAUUCUAAAAAUCUACAACCCUCAACCUAAAAAACACAAAAAUCCCUAAGCCCUAAAAAAAUCCUAAGAAACACUCAAUCCUUAAAAACCCUAAAAAAACCCAAAAAUCCCUAAAUGUAAAAAACUUCUAAGCUCUAAACCCUAUAAAGCCCUAAAUUGUAUAUGCUAAAUCCUAAAAAACACAAAAACCACUAAGCCCUAAACCCUAAUAAUGAAAAACCCUGCAAAACCAUAACUGUAAAGACCCUAAAAACCAACAUAAACCCUUUAAGCUAAAUCCCUAAACCUAUAAAACCCCUAAGCCCUAAACCCUAAAUCCUAAACCGAAAACCAUAAGAAACCCUAAACCCUAAACAUUAAGAAACCCUAGAUCCUAUAAACUCUAAAUAAACCCUAAAAAUCAUUAAAAACCCCUACUAAACCCUACGCUCUAAACCCAAAAUCCUAAAAAUCUGUAAACCCUAAACCUUAAAAAAAAUCAAAAAACCCAAAGCCUUAAACCUUAAACCUUAAACCCUUAAAACACCAAAGACACACUUGACCCUUACAAACCCUAAAAAUGCCAAACACCCCACAACCCCUAAACCUAAAAAAUACAAAAAAAAAAAAAACUAAGCCUUAAACCCUAGAUCCUAAAAAACCUUAAGAAACACUCAACCCUUAAAAAAUCUUAAAACCCAAAAACCCCCAAAACAAAAAAACUCUAAACCCUCAACCCUAUUAAGCCCUAAAUCGUUAUGCUAAACCCUAAAAAACUGUCACGACCCAAAAUGAGUCAUGAGUAGCACCCAUACUUAACCUCCUAAGUGGGUGAACCAAUGAAUCCAAACCCCAACAUUUAUUACUUGUUAAGCUUAUGAAAUACAAACCAUAAUGCGGAGGCUCAAUCUUAUUAAGGUAAGAAACAAAAAUUCACUAAAGUCUACUCUAUGUCAAUCCCAAAACCUGUAAUUCAUCACUUCAAGGACAUCUAAUCUCUAAAUACUAAGUCUAAGAGUAUCAAAGACAACAAGAUAAAUAAAUAAAAUAGUUUAUGUCUGAAAACUAAGGACAUCAUGCCAUGACCGAGAGAAUCCAACACAAGCUAGAAUGAAUAGCUCACCCUUAAGCUGAGGUGCUGGAGAUUGGCUAGGGUUGAAGGAAAGUUGAAGUCGUUGGUACACGCGCUGCACUCCACAAAAGGAAAACAAAGAAAAACACAAGUAGGGCUCAGUACAGGGCAACAUGUACUGAGUAGAUAUCAUGAGCCGACUCAAAAUAAUAACUAAUAUGCAUAAAGUAAUCGUAUAAAAUCAACUAUAGCACUAUGCAGGUGAUAAGAAACGAACAACAUGAACAAGUGACAACUGAAGAAAGUACGUAAUCAAUCACAAUAUCAAGCACACACACGAGGAUUUGUUCCUCGACACCACGCUGGUUUGGGAAAUGGGUUCUUUGAGAUUGAGUAAAUUGAGUUAAUUCAAUAUGUUUUCCUCUUUUAUGUUACAGUGUUGGAACGUGAAACCUCGAUCCAAUAAUACCAUGUCGGAAUGUCACACCCGAUCCAAUAAUACCGUGUCGGAAUGUGACACUCCGAUCAAAUAAUACCGUAUCGGAACGUGACACCCCGAUCCAAUAAUAUUUUUAAUUUAUCAUUUAUUAUCACCACUUUUCACUGCAUUAACAAUAUUUCAUCAAGCCUUAUUUAUUAAGGCAUCACUUCCAUAGAGAAGGUUCAAGAUUAUAAAUUUCACGGUCUCAGAAUUUCAGACCAAUCCCAAACAACACAUAGAUUAUUCAAACCAAACAACGAAGUACGUAGAGAAAUUCAUAAUAUCACUCAAUGCAUAGCAAUCACUAUUGAGAGUCUAUCUAUCAAAUAGAAUAAACCAUAACCUACCUCCACCGGAAAACCGAAGUCAAGCAAACUACUUCUCCAAUGCUUUUCCUUUCCUCAAUGCCUCUGAACCUUUCCAAUCUAUCAAGUAUCUAUGCAUAAUUUGUAAGUUAAUGAGUGUAUAAACACUUAUAUUAUUCUAUGUCUAUCCUAGACCUAAAAACACAACUAAUUCUAUAAUCAAUUUCUUAAAAUUCAAACCUAAGUGUAAGUCUUAUUAAUUCCUCCAAUUGGCAUAAAUUUAAUGAUAUUUGAAUAAUAUAAUACACCUCAUAUUUAAUUAUUUAUCUCAAUAAAACAAAACUUAAUCAUAAUGUGAUAAAUAUAAUAAGUAAAGAUCGGAGCCACAUGUUAUAGUUAACCGUGGCAUUGCUGUAUAUUGAAUAAUGGUUUCAUGAUUGAUAAAGUUCCUAAUUUCCACGUACAGAGAUUUGAGAUUUGCAAUGAUCUUAUCACCAUUGGUCAAUCAUUACUCAUUAUGGCCGAAACAUUAUUUUUUUCUCUUUUUCUUCCAAAACUCAACCGACCAGUACAUUAAUUUUUCACUUAUAACAACAAAUCAUUUGCACUUAUCUAUUACCUCACCUCACCCAAUAAUAACAAAUCACAAUUCAAGCUUCUAUAUCUAAUUAAUGUUACUAAAAAGAAUUUGAGAGAGUUCACUUGAAGCCGCCGUUUCAAAUUUGAUUUCGUUCCAUGCCGUUUUCUGUUUUUCUCCUCUUUCUUUCUUUUCUUUUCUUCUACAGAUUAUAUUUACCCUAAUUAUUAUAUGACUAAUUAUAAGAGUGUUGAAAGUGACCCACUAUUAAUUUUAAUGCUAUCUUAUUUAACCAUCAACUAUAUUAAAUAUUAAAAUUACCCCCUUACUUACAUAAUUAUAGUUACAAAUAAUCCAAAAUACCCAUUUAAAAUCUAUCGAAAGAGUCUUUGAUGAAAUAAAAAGCUCUAGUACUCAAAUGAACAAAUGGGUCUUUACAUUAGAUACCAAUUUACCCAUCGUUCGUCCUCGAACGAUCAAAAGAAGGGGAGGGUAAGAAAGGGUACCUAAAUCGAUAGUGGCCACAACAAGAAUUGAACCUUAACUAACCUCCACACCAUUAUAAUACACAUACCAUCAUAGGUUUUAUCAAGAUUCUGUUCUGACAACACAAUCUUUUCAUGAACCUAAGUUAUAAAAAUAUGAUCUUUAGACAUCGGGUACUCAUCAAGGGAGAAUUAAACUUAUCUAACCCAACUAAUGAAAAUAUUAAGUAGCCACCAAAAAAAAAAAUACACUGAAGCACAUAGAACAUUUAACAACACUGUCGAAGUACUAGAUCAAUAGUUGUGAUUAUAGACAACCCUUAAGAACAACAUAACUAGAUAUGAUGGUACCCACAUUCAACCACACAUAACCGAUAUAUGACCUCAAUGACAAGAUGAAUAUUAAGACUGUCGGACAACUAUAAAUACCCAUGGGAGAUCUAUAAAUUCUCAUAAGCAAAGAGGUAAAUGUAGAACCACUCAAAUACUUCAACUACUCUAAGACAACACUAAAUAUGUCAUAUCUAAAAUAACCAAGUUUGUCCAAACAUCCUACCCUACUCAGAGGGCAUCGUAGGAUCGGUACACCCGAUCCACCACUAGGGUUCAACCCACAUAAGUUAAAACAUGCAUGGGCAUAGAUAGUGAAUCACACUUCAAAUCAAGUCCAGGACUAAAUAGGUGGUCAGAUAAGAAUAUCCAGAAUAAAGGUCGAAUAACUCAAGAUACUCCUUAGAUAGUGCUCAUGUCAAACAUUUCCAUUCAUUUGACUCUAUAUCCUUGAUUUUUAGCCACCAACAAUCAACAAGUUUGGUCUUUAUUACAAUCAUACACAUAUUCGAUUUAUCAAAACCCUACAUACUUCUCAAAAUACUCAAUUGAAGCCAACACUCUUAAUACUAACAAACAUCAUAACUACACCGUCCAUUUACCAUACUCUCAAACUGUCACUCAUAUAAAAAUUUUCUUAGCAAACACAUUGUCGUCUCUAAUAAUUUCAAAUUAUGGCUCCCUCUCUUUCCAUUCAAACAUCCCAUGCUAGAUACGGCUUUCACCCGAGGCUGAUAGAACUAAUUUCAAAUCUAAUAGUACUCUCUCAUCGAGAUAGAGCUAUUGAAUCACACCCAAUGUCGACUCUACACAAUGUUUCAUAUACCUAGUUUCAAAUACCAUUCAAACCAUUAUACACCUCAUACCAACACUUAAGAAAUUCUUGGUCAAGUUUAUAUACUAGGAGCACAUAACCUCUAUUUACUAUCAAGUGUCUAUGUAACACAUCACAUUAGUGUGUGUAGUCCCAUUUAAAAUAGUAGUUUCAACCCCCCCGAAAUCCUUAAUAACCAUGUAUAAUUAUAGGUCCAGACUGUUGCGCAUUCAUAAGUCACCUACCAUUAUUUCAACAAUUUAGCCCCACAUAACAACACAUAAUCUUACACACAACAUUGCUUGUCACAAAAACCAAAACUCAAUCUUUAUAAAAGUUGAUGAUAAACCACUAGUAAGUAUGUACCAAACUAGUUCCAAAAAAGACAAAAAAAAACCUUAAGCCCUAAACCUUAAACCCUAAAAAUCCCUAAGAAACACUUAAUCCUCAAAACCCCUAAAAAACACAAAAACCCCUAAACCUAAAAAACUCUAAGCUCUAAACUCUAUAAAGCCCUAAAUCUUAUAAGUUAAACCGUAAAAAACACUAAAAGUCGCUAAUCCCUUACCCUAAAAAAACCAUAAUCUAAAAAAUCUAACCCCUAAACCCUAAAAACGUAGAUAAAACCUUUAAUCUAAAACCCUAAACAAAAAAAAAUCAUAAGCGCUAAACCCUAAUCUAAAACCAUGAAUCCUAAACUUAAGACCCUAAGAAACCCUAAACCUAAAGGAACCCUAAAUCCUAUAAACUCUAAAAUAAACCUUAAAAACCAUUCAAAACCCCUACAAAACCCUAAGCUCUAAACCCUAAAUACUAAAAAUCCAUAAACCCUAAACAUAAAAAACAUAAAAAAAAAACCUUAAGCCUUAAACCCUAAACCGUAAAAAACCCUAAGAAAUGCUUAACCCUUAAAAGCCUUAAAAAGCGAAAAUAUCCUAAAAAACUCUAAGCUUUAAACCCUAUAAAGGCCUAAAUCGUAUAUGCUAACCCUAAAAAACACACAAAAAAAAUCCGCGCCCUAAACCCUGAAUCUAUAAAAACCCUAAAAAACCCUUAACACAAAAAACCCAAAGCCCUAAACCAAAAUCCUUAGAUAAAACCCUUAAUCCUAAACCCUAAACCUAAAAAACCCCUAAAUUCUAUACCCUAAAACCCGAAGAAACUCUAAAACUUAAACCAUAAGAAACCCUGAAUCCUAUAAACCCUAAAAUAAACCCUAAAACACAUUUAAAACCCCUAAAACCUCUAGUCUCUAAACCAUAAAUCCUAAAAAUCCGUAACUUUAAAUAAAAAAAACACAAAAAAACCUAAGCGAUAAACCCUAAACCCUAAGAAACACUUAACCCUUAAAAACCCAAAAACCCCUAAACCUAAAAUAUUAUAAGCUCUAAACACUAUAAAGCCAUAAAUCGUAUAUGAUAAAUCCUAAAAAAUACAAAAAAACUCUAAGCCCUAAACCCUAAACCUAUAAAACCCUGAAAAACCGUAACUAAAAAAACCCUAAAAACCUAGAUAAAACCCUUAACCUAAAUCCCUACACCCUAAACCCUAAACCCUAACCUAAAACAGUAAAUCCUAAACGUAAAACCCUAAGAAACCCUAACUCAAAACCUUUAGAAACCCGAAAUCCUAUAAUCCCUAAAAAAAACCCUAAAAUCCAUUUAAAACCCCUACAAAACCCUAAGCUCUAAACCCUAAAUACUAAAAAUCCAUAAACCCUAAACAUAAAAAACAUAAAAAAAAANNNNNNNNNAAAAACCUUAGCCUUAAACCCUAAACCCUAAAAAAUCCUAAGAAAUACUAAACCCUUAAAACCCCUAAACCUAAAAAACUCUAAGCUAUAAAACCGAUAAAUCCCCAUAUUGUAUAUGCUAUAACCCAAAGAAACCUUAAACCCUAAACUAUAAGAAAUCCUAAAUCCUAUAAACCUUAAAAUAAACUCUCAAACCAUUUCAAACCCCUACAAAACCCUAAGUUCUAAACCCUAAAUCUUGAAAAUUCAUAAACCCUAAACCUAAAGAACACAUAAAAAACCCUAAGCCCUAGACCCUAAAAAACCGUAAGAAACACUUAAACCUUAAAAACCCUAAGAAACACUUAAACCUUAAAACCCUAAAAAACCCAAAACCCCCUAAACCUAAAAAAGUCCAAGCUCUAAACCCUAUAAAGCCCAAAUAGUAUAUGCUAAACCCUAAAACACACCAAAAAUAACCCUAAGACCUAAACCAUAAACCUAUGAAACCCUAAAAAACCUUAACCUAAAAUACCUAAGCCCUAAACCCUAAAAUAUAGAAAAAACCCAUAACCUAAAAACUACCUAAACCCUAAACCUUAGCCUAAAAAUCUUUAACCUAAACCUAAAACCCUCAGAAACCCUUAACCCUAAACCUUAAGAAACGCUAAGUCCUAUAAACCCUAAAAUAAACACUAAAAACAAUUUAACACCCCUAAAAAACCUAAGAUCUAAACCAUAAAUCCUAAAAUUCCAUAAACCCUAAACCUUAAAAACACAAAAAAAAAAAACCCUAAUCCAUAAACCCUAAAAUCCAUUUGAAAGCCCUACAAAAUCCUAAGCUCUAAACCCUAAAUCCUAAAAAUCCGUAAACCUAAACCUAAAAUAAACAAAAAAAACCCUAAGCCCUAAACUCUAAAAACCCUAAGAAACACUUAACCCCUACACACUCUAAAACCCCAAAAAAACCCUAAACCUAAAAACACUCUAAGCUCUAAACCCUAUUAAGCCCUAAAUCGUAUAUGCUAAACCCUAAAAAAUCCAAGAAAACCCCUACACCCUAAACUACAAAACCCUAAGAAACCUAAGCCUAAAAAACCCAAACCUUUAUCCAAAACCUAAAACCCUUAGAAACCUUAAAUCGUAAACCUUAAGAAACCCUAAAUCCUAUAAAACUUGGAAGGAACCCUAAAAUCCAUUUAAAACCCCUACAAAAUCCUAAGCUAUAAAUCAUAAAUCCUAAAAAUCUGUAAACCCUAAACCUAAAAAACAAAAAAAACGCUAACCCCUAAAUCCAAUAAACCCUAAGAAACACUUAACCCCUACACACCCUAAAAAACCCAAAAUCCCCUAAACCCAAUAAAUUCCAAGCUCUAAACCCUAUAAAGACUUAAAUCGUAUAUGUUAAACCCUAAGAAACACAAAGAGACCCUAAGGCCUAAACUCUAAACCUAUAAAACCCUAAAACAACCUUAACCUAAAACCCCCAAACCCCUUAACCCUAAAAACCUAGAUAAAACCCUUAACCUAAAACACUAAACAUAAAAAAUCCCUAAACCUAAACGGUAAAUCCUAACCUGAAACCCUAAAUCGUAAACCUAAAACACUAAGAAACCGUAAACCCUAAACAUUAAGAAACUCUAAAUCCUAUAAACACCAAAAUAAAAACUAAAACCAUUUAAAAAUCCUACAAAAUCCUAAACUCUAAAUCCUAAAUAUAUGUAAACCCUAUAACUAUAAAACACACAAAAAAAACCUAAGCCCUAAACCUUAAACCCUAAAAAACCCUAAAAAAUCCAAAACCCCUAAACCUUAAAAAACUCUAAGCUCUAAACCCUAUAAAGCCCUAAAUCGUAUAUGCCAAACCCUAAAAAACUCAAAAAAAUCCUAAGCACUAAACUCUAUACCUAUAAAACCCUUAACCUAAAAUACCCAAAGCCCUAAACCGUAAAAACCUAGAUAGAACCCUUAAUCUAAAAUCCUAAACCUAAAAAAAACCUAAGCCCUAAACCCUAAACCCUAACCUAAAACCCUACGAAACCCUAAACUUUAAGAAACUCUAUAUCCAAUAAACCUAAAAUAAACCCUAAAACCAUUAAAAAUGCCUAAAAACCUUAAACUUUUUAAAAAAACCUAAGCCCUAAACCAUAAACCCUAAAAAACCCUAAGACACACUUAACCCUUAAAACCACUAAAAAACACAAAACCCCCUAAACCUAAAAAAUUCUAAGCUCUAAGCUCUAUAUCUUAUAUUUUAAACCUUAAAAACCACAAAAAAAAAAUCCCUAAGCCCUAAACCCUAAACCUAAAAAACCUUAAUCUAAAAAACACAAAGCCCUAAACCCUAAAAACCUAGAUAAAACCCUAAACCUAAAAUAACCAUAAGCCCUAAACCCUAACCUAAAGCCAUAAAUCCAAAACCUACAACCCUAAGAAACCCUAAACUUAAGAAACCUUAAACCUUAUAAACUCUAAAAUAAACCCUAAAAACCAUUCAAACCCCCUACAAAACCCUAAAUCCUAAAAAUAGGUAAACCUUAUACCUAUAAAACAUUAAAAAAAAAACUGUAAGCCCUAAACCCUAAACCCUAAAAAACCCUAAGAGAUACCUAACCCUUAAAAGCCUUAGAAAUCGAAAAACCCGUAAGCCUAAAAAACUCUAAGCUCUAAACCCUAUAAAGCGCUAAAUCCUAUAUGCUAAACCUUAAAAAAAAACACAAAAAUCCCUAGCUAUAAACCCUAAAUCUAUAAAGCCCUAAAACAACCUUAACGAAAAAAACCUAAAACCCAACAUAAAACCCUAAACCUAAAACCCUAAGAAACCCUAAACCUUAAAGCAUAAGAAACCCUAAAUCCUAUAAACCCUAAAACCCAUUUAAAACCCCUACAAAACCCUAAUCUCUAAACCUUAAAUCCAAAAAUUUUGUAACCCUAAACAACAAAACCACAAAAAACCCUAAGCCAUAAACCCUAGACCUUUUAAAACCCUAAGAAACACUUAAACCAUAAAAACCCUAAAAAAAAACCAAAAACCUCUAAACCUAAAAUAGUAUAAGCUCUAAACCCUAUAAAGCUCUAAAUUGUAUAUGCAAAUUCCUAAAAAUCACAAACAAACACUAAGCCCUAAACCCUAAACCCUAAACCUAUAAAACCUUGAAAAACCUUAACCUAAGAAACCCUAAAAACCUAGAUAAAACCCUUUUCCUAAAUCCCUCAACCUAAAAAAACCCUAAGCCCUAAACCCUAAACCCUAAACCCUAACUUAAAACCGUAAAUUCUAAUCCUAAAACCCUAAGAAACCCUAAACAAUAAACCUUUAGAAACCCUACAUCCUAUAAUCCCUUAAAAAACCCUAAAAACCAUUUAAAACCCCUACAAAACCCUAAGCUCUAAACCUUAAAUACUAAAUAUAUGUAAACCCUAAACCUAAAAAGCACAAAAAAAAACUAAGCCCUAAACCCUAAAAAUCCCUAAGAAACACUUAACCCUUAAAACCCCCAAAACCCCUAAACCUAAAAAACCUCUAAGCUCUAAAACCUAUAAAGCCCCAAAUUGUAUAUGCUAAAACCCUAAGAAACCCUAAAUCCUAUAAACCUUAAAAUAAACCCUAGAACCAUUUAAAACCCCUACAAAACCCUACUCUCUUAAACCAAAAUCCUAAAAAUCCAUGAACCCUAAACCUAAAAAACACAAAAAAAUGCUAAGCCCUAAACCCUAAACCCUAAAAAAUCCUAAGAAACACUUUAACCUUAAAAACCCUACAAAACACUAAAAAACCCAAAACCCCUAAAAAACUCCAAGCUCUAAACCCUUUGAAGCCCUAAAUCGUAUAUGAUUAACCCUAAAACACAAUAAAAAAGCCCUAAGCCUUAAACCCUAAACCUCUAAAAACCUUAACCUAAAAAACCCUAAGCCCUAAACCCUAACAAAAUCCAUAACCUCAAACCCUAAACCCUAAAUCCUAACCUAAAACCCUAUAUCUUAAACCUAAAACCCUAAGAUACCCAUAACCCUAAUCCUAACCUAAAACCCUAUAUCUUAAACCUAAAACCCUAAGAUACCCAUAACCCUAAACCUUAAGAAACCAUAAGUCCUAUAAACCCUAAAAUAAACACUAAAAACCAUUUAAAACCCCUACAAAACCCUAAUCUCUUAACCACAAAUCCUUAAAGUCCGUAAACCCAAAUCCUAAAAAGUAUAAAAAAAACCCUAUACCAUAAACCCUAAACCCUAUAACACCGUAAGAAACACUUAACCCAUAAAACCCUAAAAAACCCCUAAACCUAAAAAACACUAAGCUCUAAACCCUAUAAAGCCUUAAAUCGUAUACACUAAACCCUAAAAAACACAAUAUAACCCUAAUCCCUAAACCCUAAACCUAUAAGACCCUAAAAACCUUAACCUAAAAAACCCAAAAGCCCUAAACGCUAAAAAACAAGAUAAACCCUUAACCUAAAACACUAAACCUAAAAAAAACCCAAAGCCCUAAACUCUAAACCCUUAACUAAAACCAUAAAUCCUAUAACUGAAGCCCUAAGAAACCCUAAAUAAUAUGAACCCUACAAAACCCUAAGAUCUAAACCCUAAAUCCUAAAAAUCCGUAAACCAAAACCUAAAAACACACAAAAAACACUAAGCCCUUAACCAAAAACCAUAAAAACCCCAAAGAAACACUUCACCCUUAAAAACCCUAAAAACACACAAAAAACCCCUAAACCUAAAAAAACUCUAAGCUCUAAACCCUAUAAAGCCCUAAAUACUAUAUGCUAAACUCUAAAAAAAACACAAAAAAUCCCUAAGCCCUAAACCUAUAAAAUCCUAAAAAACAUUAACCUAAAAAUCCCAAAGCCCUAAACCCUAAAAACCUAGAUAAAACCCUUAACCUAAAAUCCUAAACCUAAAAAAAGCCUAAGCCCUAAACCCUAAACCCUAACCUAAAACCCUAAGAAACCCUAAACCCUAAUCAUAAACCCAAAACCCUAAGAAACCCUAAACCCUAAACCUUAAGAAACCUUAAAUCCUAUAAUCCAAAAAAUAAACCGUAAAAAUUAUAUAAACCCCGACAAAAUGCUAAGCUCUAAACCCUAAAUCCUAAGAAUCCAUAAACCCUAGGCCCUAAACCCUAAACCCUAAAAAACCCUUAAAAAAACCCAAAAAACGCUAAAUCUAAAAAACUCUAAGCUCUAAACACUAUCAAGCACAAAAUAAUAUACGCUAAACCCUAAAAAUCACAAAGGAGAACCUAAGCCCUAAAUUUAAAUCCUAUAAAACCCUAAAAAACCAUAACCCAAAAUACCCAAAUCCCUAAACCCUAAAACCCGAGAUAAUACCCAUAACAUAAGACCCUAAAACUAAAAAAAACCCUAAGCCCUAAUCCCUCAACCCUAACCCAAAACCCUAAAUCCUAAACCUCAAACCCUAAGAAACCUUAAACCCUAAAAACCCUAGAAAAAAUCCUAUAAACUCUAAAAUAAAUCAUAAAAACCAUUUAAAACCCCUACGAAACCCUAAUCUCUAAACCCUAAAUUCUAAAAAUCUAUAACCCUCAACCUAAAAAACACAAAAAAAUCCUAAGCCCUAAGCCUUAAACCAUAAAAAAUUCCUAAUAAAUACUUAACCCUUAAAAACCCUAAAAAACCCAAAAACCCUUAAACGUAAUAAAUUCUAAGAACUAAACCUUAUAAAGCCCUAAAUUGUAUAUGCUAAAUCCUAAAAAACACAAAAAACCCUAAUCCCUAAACCCUACAAAACCAUAACAUUAAAGACCCUAAAAACCUAGAUAAACCCCUUAAGCUAAAUCCCUAAACCUAAAAAUCCCUAAUCCCUAAACCCUAACCUAAAACGCUAUAUCCUAAACCUAAAACCAUAAAACCUAAACCUUAGGAAACCCUAAAUCCUAUAAACCCUAAAUAAACCCUAAAACCAAUCUAAAAACACUACAAAACCCAAAGCUCUAAACUCUAAAUCCUAAAAAUCCAUAAACCCUAAACCUAAAAAACAGAAAAAACUCUAAGCCCUAAACCACAAACCCUUAAAACCCCCAACAAACACUUGGCCCUUACAAACCCUAAAAACCCCAAAAACCCAUAAACCUUAAAAACUCUAAGCUCUAAACCCUAUAAAGCCCUAAAUUGUAUAUGCUAAACCCUAAAAACACAAAAAAAAACCUAAGCCCCAAAUCCUAAACCUCUAAAACCCUAAAAACCCUUAAUAUAAGAAAACCAAAGCCCUAAACCUUAAAAACUUACAUAAAACCCUAUACCUAAAACCCUAAACCUAAAAUAUCCUAAGCCCUAAACCCUAAAUCCUAACCUAAAACCCUAAAUCCUAAACCUAAAACCCUAAAUCCUAUAAAAACCUGAAAACCAUUUAAAACGUCUACAAAACCCUAAUCUCUAAACCCCAAAUCAUAAAAAUCCAUAAAUCCUAUACCUAAAAAAAUACAAAAAAAAAACUAAGCCCUAAAACCUAAACAACCCUAAGAAACACUUAACCCUUAAAAAACCUUAAAACCCAACCCCCCCCCCCUCAAAACUAAAAAUUAUAUACUCUAAAUCCUAUUAAGCCUAAAAUCGUAUAUGCUAAACCCUAAAACACAAAAAAAAAAACCUAUCCCCUAAAUCCAAAACCUAUAAAACCCUAAAAAACCCAAAGCCCUAAACCUUAAAAACCUAGAUAAAAUCCUUACCCUAACACCCUAGGCCGUAAAUCUUAAACCAUAACCUAAAACCCUAAAUCCUAAACCUAAAACCCUAAGAAACAAUCAAGCAACCGCCUUAAGUUUUAGAUAGACUCUAGAUUAGUUUUUCCAUUCGUUUUCCAUGUAAGGGGAGAGUCUCCCUAGUUUAUUGCUUACUAGUUAUGAUGUAUGGAGAGGAGUCCUCUCCUCUAGGUGCAUAGUUAGUAGGUUCCUUUUCUAGUACGGGGAUGAGUCGACUAGCCUUUAUAGGAAGGUUGACACAUGUACCACCAUAGGUUCAGAGGUAAGGUUUAUGUCCCCCUCCUUGUAUUUUUGUUUUGUUAUUAAUGCUAAGGCCUGGAGGUGUUGCUAAGCCCCUGACCCCCCCAAGGGUCGUUCAAAUAAAAAAUAAAAAAUAAAAAAAACCUUAAGAAACCCUAAACCCUAAACCUUACGAAAUUCUAAAUCCUAUAAACCCUCUAAACCAUAUAUAACCACUAAGAAAUCCUAAACCCUAAAUCCAAAAAAUCUAUAAACUCUAAACCUAAAAAACACAAAAAAUCCCUAAGCCCUAAACCUUAAACCCUAAGAAACACUUAACCCUUAAAAACCCAAAAACCCAAAAACCCCUAAACCUAAAAAAAAUCUAAGCUCUAAACCCUAUAAAGACCUAAAUCGUAUAUGCUAAACACUAAAAAACACAAAAAAAAACCUAAGCCAUAAACCCUAAACUUAUUAAAACCUAAAAAACGUUAACCUAAAAAACCAGAAGCCCUAAACCCUAAAAACCUAGAUAAAAUCCUUAACCUAAAACCCUAAACCUAAAAAAAACACUAAGCCCUAAACCCUAAAUCCUUACCUAAAACCCUAAAUCCUAAAUCUAAAAGCCUAAGAAACCCUAAACCUUAAGAAAACUAUAUCCUGUAAACCCUAAAAACCUUUUAAAAUUCCUACAAAACCCUAUACACACAAUGGCUGCGAUAUCACCUCCAAAUACUACUAUCAAGUACGUUGAGUCUAUCAUUGCAAAUUUCUUUUAGGGGAGAGAUCAGGAUAAAAGGAAGUAUCAUUGGGCUUCUAUGGAGACCAUGAUUUUACCUUAUGCUGAAGGAGGAGCGGGUCUUAGAAAACUUACAGAUAUUUGUACUUCUCUCCAGUUUAAGCAAUGGUGGGUCUUUCGAUCUAAAUCUUCUUUAUGGAGUCAGUUUCUUAAAGCAAAAUAUUGUCAGAGGGCUAAUCCAGUUGCAAAAAAGGUGGAUACUAAGGAAUCAUUGGUAUGGAGGUACAUGAUGAAGAAUAAAGACAAAGUAGAAGAACAUAUCACUUGGAAAAUCAGUUCUGGCAGUUGCUCCUUUUGGUGGGAUGAUUGGUUGGGGGGGGGGUGCUAGCUAAGCAUUCCAGUUAUAUUUCAAGCCUCAACAAUGCUACUGUUGCUCAAUUCUUGGUUGAUGGUAAAUGGAAUGAGAGGAAGCUGAGGCAGCAGGUUCCACCUUUGCUCAUCCCACAUAUUUUGAACUAUACGUUUCAAUAUCAACAAGGAGUUCCUGAUAUAGCAAUCUGGAGGCCAAAUGAAAAUGGAAAGUUCACUUGUGCUUCAGCUUGGGAAAUCUGUAGACAUAGGAAUCAUAUUGCAGGGAUAAAUUCUCAGAUUUGGCAUAAACAUAUUCCUUUCAAAAUGUCCUUUCUCCUAUGGAGGGCUUUGAGGAAUAAAUUGCAAACCAAUGUGGCAUUAGGGAAGUUUGGUGUGGAGCCUGUGAGAUGCUUUUGUUGUUAUCAGCAAGGAUGGGAUGAAGUGGAUCAUAUCUUCAUACAAGGACAUUUUGCAGCUCAUAUCUGAAAAUAUUUUUCAAAUAUUUUGGGUAUUGAUGUGCAACAGACUUCCCUAAAUAGCUACCUAUUAAAUUGGUGUGGCAGUCAAGGUAAAAAUGAAGCUCACAAGACCAUUAUUCAGACUCCCUAUAGUUAUAUGCUGGAACCUAUGGAAAAAUAGAUGUUCAGUCAAGUAUGGGGGGAAAGAUAUCUAGCAUCAGCAAAGUUAAUUACUUGAUAAUUAAAGACAUGUUUUAGCUUCUCAGAUCUGUAUUUCCUUACAUUCAGUGGCCAAUGCAGUGGCCAGAAGUUGUUGACAAGUUAGAGCAAAGUAAACAUGAGGGUAGAGUCAUCUCAGUCAUUUGGAAACCUCCCCCUAUUUCUCGAUAUAAACUUAACACUGAUGGCAGUGCUUUGCACAAUCCGGGGAAGAUUGAGGAGGGGGGGGGGUAUUCUAAGGGACUCUAAUGGGAAUAUUAUAUAUGUUUUUGCUAUACCUUUGGGUGAAGGGACCAACAAUCAUGCAGAAGUUCAGGCUGCCAGUUAUGGGAUCAACUGGUGCAUUCAACAUGGGUAUAAAAACAUUAUUUUAGAAGUGGAUUCUGAAUUGCUAACUAAAUGGUUUUUGCAGAUUUCUGAUCCUCCUUGGAGGAUUUCCAGGUUUGUGCAGGAACUACAAAGUUUAGCUAAUCAGUGUGAACUUUUUCAAUGUAUUCAUACUUACAGAGAGGCCAAUAGUACAGCAGAUUGGUUGUGUAAACAAAGUCACAAACAAGAUAUCAUCCAACAUUAUUACAUUCCCAACCAAUUACCAAAAGCAGCAAGAGGAAGUUAUAUUCUGGAGAAAAUGGGCAUGCCAAGUUUCAGAAGGAAACACUUGAGAAGGAUUAAAAUUACUCCUUGACUUUUUGUUCCUUUCAACACACCUCCUUGAAUUUCUAUUUUUUUUCUUUCACCUUAACUAUGUUUUGCUUAGUUUGGUUGUUUGCUUAGGAACAGGAGCUCCAAGUGGUGUUUAUAAAUGGGCAUUCUUCCAUAAACAUCAUAUAGCAGGAAGUAUCUCCAACCAAAGUUCCAAACAUCUAAUUUUCGAUGAUCAAAACUAGUGCGGCAAGAGGAGUUAUUUGCAGAUCUGGAUCAUAAACUAAAGAGCAUAUAAUUACACUUCCUGCAAUUUGAUUCAUGUGAUACAUUCUUUUCGAAUUAGCUAUAUCUUUAGGUAUAGUUGUUUGAUUAGGCCUAGUUUUUUUUAUUCUCUUCUUGUAAGGGGAGAGUCUCCCUUAUUUAUGUAUUAUUAGUAACUUUGUAUUAAGAGAGGAGUCCUCUCUAGGUGCUUAGUUUAAUUUUACAUCUUAUUGUAUAGGGUGGAGUCGACUAACCUUAGUAGGUAGGUCGACUCUUCACCCACCUUAGGAUUGGAGGUAAGUUAUAUGCCCCCCUCCUUCUAUAUUUUGAAUUUUAUAUAUGAUAAGCCCUGGGGGUGCUGCUCAGCCCCUGACUCCCUCAAAGGUCGUUCAAAUAAAAAAAUAAAAAAUAAAAAACCCUAAGAAACACUUAACCUUCAGAAACCCUAUAAAAACACAAAAACCCUUAAACCUAAAAGACUCCCAGCUUUAAAGUACUCUAUAAAGCCCUAAAUCUUAUAUGUUAAACCUUAAAAAAUACAAAAAGUCCCGAAUCCCUAAACCCUAAAAAAACCAUGAUCUACAAAACCAUGAUCUAAAAAACCUAAGCCAUAAACCCUAAAAUCCUAGAUAAAACCCUUAACCUAAAAGCCUAAACCUUAAACCCUAACCUAAAACCAUAAAUCCUAAAUCUAAGACCCUAAGAAACCCUAAACCCUAAACCUUAAGAAACCCUAAAUCCUAUAAACUCUAAAAGAAACCCUAAAAACCAUUCAAAACGCCUACAAAACUCUAAGCUCUACACCCUAAAUCCUAAAAAUCUGUUAACCCUAAGCAUAAAAAAUAUUUUUAAAAAAUCCCUAAAGCCUAAACCGUAAAAAAUCCUAAGAAAUGCUGAACCCUUAAAAGCGUUAAAAACCGACAAAUCCCUUAACUUAAAAACCUCUAAGCUCUAAACCCUCUAAAGCCCUAAAUCGUGUAUGCCAAACCCUAAAAAACAGACAAAAAAAACCCUAAACCCUAAAUCUAUAAAAUCCUAAAAAAACCUUAACACAAAAAACCCAAAGCCCUAAACCUAAAACCCUAGAUAAAACCCUUAACCUAAAACCCUAAACCUAAAAAACCUCUAAAUUCUAUAACCUAAAACCCUAAGAAACUCUUAAACUUAAACCAUAAGAAACACUAAAUCCUAUAAAUCCUAAAAUAAACCCUAAAACACAUUUAAAACCCCUAGUUUCUAAAUCCUAAAAAUCCAUAACCCUAAACAAAAAAACACAAAAAACCCUAAGCCAUAAACCCUAAACCCUAAAAAACCUUAAGAAACACUUAACCCUUAAAACCCCUAAAAACCCCUAAACCUAAAAUAUUAUAAGCUCUAAACCCUAUAAAGCCCUAAAUCGUAUAUUAUAAAUCCUAGAAAAUACAAAAAACCCUAAGCCCUAAACCCUAAACCUAUAAAAUCCUGAAAAACAUUAACCUAAAAAACUCUAAAAACCAAGAUAAAAUCCUUAACCUAAAUCCCUACACCCUAAACCCUAACGAAAAACAGUAACUCCUAAACCUAAAAGCCUAAGAAACCCUAAACCCUAACCCUUUAGAAACCCUAAAUCCUAUAAUACCUAAAAAGACCUAAAAUUCAUUUAAAACCCCAACAAAACCCUAAGCUCUAAACCUUAAACCCUCAAAAUCCGUAAACUCUAAACCUAAAAGCCACAGAAAAAAACCCUAAGCCUUAAACCCUAAACCCUAAAAACCCUCAGAAAUACUAAACCCUUAAAACCCAUAAGCCUAAAAAAAUCUAAGCUAUAAAACCUAUAAAUCCCAAAAUCGUAUAUGCUAUAACCCUAAGAAACCCAAAACCUUAAACCAUAAGAAAUCCUAAAUCCUAUAAACCUUAAAAUAACCCAUAAAACCAUUUAAAACCCCUACAAAACCCUAAGCUCUAAACUCUAAACCUAAAAUCUGUAAACCCUAAACCUACAAAACACAAAAAACCGUAAGAGCUAAACCCCAAACCCUAAAAAACCCUAAGAAACAGUUAAACCUUAGAAACCCUAAAAAAACCCUAACAAACACUUUAACCUUAAAACCAUAAAAACACAAAAACCUCUAAACAUAAAAAAUUCCAAGCUCUAAACACUAUAAAGGCCUAAAUAGUAUAUGCUAAACCCUAAAACACACCAAAAAAAAAUCCUAAGCCCUAAACCCUAAACCUAAAGAACCGUAACAUAAAAUCCCAAAGCCCUAAACCCUAAAACUUAGAUAAAACCCUUAACCCAAAAAAUCCCUAAGUCCUAAACCCUAUACACUAACCUAAAACCCUAAAUCCUAAACCUAAAACCCUAAGAAACCCUUAACCAUAAACCUUAUGAAACCCUAAAUCCUAUAAACCCUAAAAUAAACACUAAAAACCAUUUAACACCCCUAAAAAACCCUAAGAUCUAAACCAUAAAUCCUAAAAUUCCAUAAACCCUAAACCUUAAAAUCACAAAAAAAAACCUAAGCCAAAAACCCUAAAUCCUAUAAAACCCCAAGAAACACUUAACUCUUAAAACCCUAAACCAAAAAAACUCUAAGCUCUAAACCCUAUAAAGCCCUAAAUAGUAUAUGCUAAAUUCUAAAAAAUAAAAUGUAACCGUAAGCCUUAAACCCUAAACAUAUGAAACCCUAAAAAACCUUACACUAAACCACUAUCCCUAAACCCUAAAAAAUUAGAUAAAACCCUUAACCUAAAACACUAAACCUAAAAAAACCCUAAGCCCUAAACCCUAAACCCUAAAUCUUAAACCUAAACGCCUAAGAAACCCUAAAUAAUAUAAACCCUAAAAUAAACCUUAAAACCAUUUAAAACCCCUACAAAACCCUAAGAUCUAAACCCAAAUCCUAGUAAUCCGUAAAUCCAAAACCUAAAACCCCAAAAAACCCUAAGAAACACUUAACCCUUAAAAACCCUAAAAACAUAAAAACCCCUAAACCUAAAAAACUCUAAGCUCAAAACCCUAUAAAGCCCAUAAAUGCCUAAAUUGUAUAUGCUAAACCCUAAAAAACACCAAAACCUCCUAAUCCCUAAACCCUAUACACUAACCUAAAACCCUAAAUCCUAAACCUAAAACCCUAAGAAACCCUUGACCCUAAACCUUAAGAAACCCUAAAUCCUAUAACCCCUAAAAUAAACACUAAAAACCAUUUAAAACCCCUACAAAAUACUAAUCUCUUCACAACAAUUCCUUAAAGGCCGUAAACCCUAAACCUAAAAAACACAAAAAACCCUAAACCAUAAACCCUAAAACGUAUAAAACUCUAAGAAACACUUUACUCAUAAAACCCUAAAAAACCCAAAAACCCCUAAACCUAAAAAAUUCUAAGUUCUAAACUCUAUAAAGCCUUAAAUCAUAUAUGCCAAAGCCAAAAAAACACAAUAUAACCCUAAGCCCUAAAUCCUAAACCUAUAAAACCCUAAGCCCUAAACCUUAGAAAAACUAGGUAAAAUCCUUAACCUAAAACCCUAAACCUAAAAAAAUCCUAAUCGUAUAUCCUAAACCCUAAAAUACAGAAAAAAUCCCUAAGCCCUAAACUCUAAACCUAUAAAACCCUAAAAAACCCAAAGUCCUAUAUCCUAAAAUCCUAGAUAAAACCCUUAAGCUAAAACCCUAAACCUUAAAACAUCUUAAUCCCUAAACCCUAACCUAAAACCCAAAAUCUUAAACCUAAAACCCUAAGAAACCCUGAACUUUAAACCUUAAGAAACCCUAAAUUCUAUAGACCCUAAAAUAAACACUAAAAACCAUUCAAAACUCCUACAAAAUCCCAAGCACUAAACCCUAAACCCUAAAAAUUCGUAAACCCUAAACCUAAAAAAACACAAACAAACCUAAAAAAUAAUUAACCCUAUAAAGCACUAAAUCAUAUAUGCUAAACCCUAAAAACACAAAAAAAACCCUAAUCCCUAAACGUAUAAAACCCUAAAAAACCAAAAGCCCAAAACCCUAAAAAACUAAGUAAAAUCAUUAACCUAAAACCCAAAUCCUAAAAAAACCCUAACCUAAAACCCUAAAUCCGAAACCUAAAACCCUAAGAAAACCUAAACCCUAAACUUAAGAAAACCUAAAUGCUAUAAACCCUAAAAUAAACCCUAUAACCCAUUUAAAACCCCUACAAACUAUAAUCUCUAAACCCUAAAUCCGCAAAUAUCGUGAACCCUAAACCUAAAAACCAUUAAAAACCCUAAGCCCUACACCCUAAGAAACACUUAACCCUAAAAAACCCCUAAAUCGUAUAUGCUAAACCCUACAAAACACAAAAAAGAACCCUAAUCCCUAAACCCUAAACCCUAAACCUAUAAAAUCCUAAAGAACCUUAAUCUAAAAAAGCUAAUGCCCCAAACCCUAAGAACUAGGAUAAAACCCAUAACCUAAAACCUUAAAUCCAAAAAAACCUUAAACCCUAAACCCUUACCUAAAAUCCUAAAUCCUAAAACUUAAGACACCUGAAAUCCUAUAAACCUUAAAAACCAUUUACAACACCUACAAAACCCUAAGCUCUGAACCCUAAAUCCUAAAAAUCCGUAAACCAUAAAUCUAAAAAACACAAAAAAAAACCAAAGGCCUAAACACAUAACCCUUAAAACCCCUAUAAAACCCAUAAACCCCUAAACCUAAAGAAACUCUAAGCUCUAAAUUCUAUAAAGCCCUAUAUCGUAUAUGUCGAACCCUAAAAUAUACAAAAAUUUCCUAAGGCCUAAACUCUAACCCUAUAAAACCCUAAAAAACCUUAACCUAAAAAACCCAAAGCCCCAAACCCUAAAACCCAAGAUAAAACCCAUAACCUGAAACCUUCAACCUAAAAAACACUAAGCCCUAAACCCUAAACCAUAGCCUAAAACCCUUAAUCCAAAACCUAAAACCAUAAGAAACCCUACACCCUAAACCUUAAGAAACCCUAAUAUAUACCCUCAAACCAUUUACAACACCUACAAAACCCUAAGCUCUAAACCUUAAAUCCUAAAAAUUCAUAAAACCUAAAUAAAAAAAACACAAAAAAAAGUAAGCUCUAAACCCUAAACCCUAAAAAACCCCAAGAAACACUUAACACUUAAAACUAGUAAAAAACCAAAAAACCCCUAAACCUAAAAAAAACUCUAAGCUUUAAACCCUAUCAAGCCCUAAAUCGUAUAUCCUAAACCCUAAAAUACAGAAAAAAUCCCUAAGCCCUAAACUCUAAACCUAUAAAACCCUAAAAAACCUUAACCUAAAAAACCAAAAGCCCUAAACCCUAAGAAACACUUAACCAUUAAGCUAAAACCCUAACCCCUAAACCAUAAACUGAAACCCUAAAUCCUAAACCUAAAACCCUAAGAAACCCUAAACUCUAAACCUUAAGAAACCCUCAAUCCUAUAUACCUAAAAUAAACCAUAAAAACCAAUCAAAACCCCUACAAAACCUUAAGCGCUAAGCCCUUAAUCCAAAAAAUCCAUAAACCCUAUACCUAACAAAACAAGAAAAAAAACCUUAAGCCUAAAACCCUAAACCCUAAACCUAAAAUACAACUAACACCCCAACCCCUAAACCUUAUACCCUAAAAAUCCCCAAGAAAAACUUAACCCUUAAAACCCCUAAAAAGCCCCUAAACAUAAAAAAAACUCUAGGCUAUAAACCUUAUAAAGCCCUAAAUCGUAUAUGCUAAAGCCUAAAAAACACAAAAAAAAACCUAAUCCCUAAACCCUAAACCUAUAAAACCCUAAAAAACCUUAACCUAAAAAACCAAAAGCCCUAAACCCUAAGAAACACUUAACCAUUAAGCUAAAACCCUAACCCCUAAACCAUAAACUGAAACCCUAAAUCCUAAACCUAAAACCCUAAGAAACCCUAAACUCUAAACCUUAAGAAACCCUCAAUCCUAUAUACCUAAAAUAAACCAUAAAAACCAAUCAAAACCCCUACAAAACCUUAAGCGCUAAGCCCUUAAUCCAAAAAAUCCAUAAACCCUAUACCUAACAAAACAAGAAAAAAAACCUUAAGCCUAAAACCCUAAACCCUAAACCUAAAAUACAACUAACACCCCAACCCCUAAACCUUAUACCCUAAAAAUCCCCAAGAAAAACUUAACCCUUAAAACCCCUAAAAAGCCCCUAAACAUAAAAAAAACUCUAGGCUAUAAACCUUAUAAAGCCCUAAAUCGUAUAUGCUAAAGCCUAAAAAACACAAAAAAAAACCUAAUCCCUAAACCCUAAACCUAUAAAACCCUAAAAAACCUUAACCUAAAAAACCAAAAGCCCUAAACCCUAAGAAACACUUAACCAUUAAGCUAAAACCCUAACCCCUAAACCAUAAACUGAAACCCUAAAUCCUAAACCUAAAACCCUAAGAAACCCUAAACUCUAAACCUUAAGAAACCCUCAAUCCUAUAUACCUAAAAUAAACCAUAAAAACCAAUCAAAACCCCUACAAAACCUUAAGCGCUAAGCCCUUAAUCCAAAAAAUCCAUAAACCCUAUACCUAACAAAACAAGAAAAAAAACCUUAAGCCUAAAACCCUAAACCCUAAACCUAAAAUACAACUAACACCCCAACCCCUAAACCUUAUACCCUAAAAAUCCCCAAGAAAAACUUAACCCUUAAAACCCCUAAAAAGCCCCUAAACAUAAAAAAAACUCUAGGCUAUAAACCUUAUAAAGCCCUAAAUCGUAUAUGCUAAAGCCUAAAAAACACAAAAAAAAACCUAAUCCCUAAACCCUAAACCUAUAAAACCCUAAAAAACCUUAACCUAAAAAACCAAAAGCCCUAAACCCUAAGAAACACUUAACCAUUAAGCUAAAACCCUAACCCCUAAACCAUAAACUGAAACCCUAAAUCCUAAACCUAAAACCCUAAGAAACCCUAAACUCUAAACCUUAAGAAACCCUCAAUCCUAUAUACCUAAAAUAAACCAUAAAAACCAAUCAAAACCCCUACAAAACCUUAAGCGCUAAGCCCUUAAUCCAAAAAAUCCAUAAACCCUAUACCUAACAAAACAAGAAAAAAAACCUUAAGCCUAAAACCCUAAACCCUAAACCUAAAAUACAACUAACACCCCAACCCCUAAACCUUAUACCCUAAAAAUCCCCAAGAAAAACUUAACCCUUAAAACCCCUAAAAAGCCCCUAAACAUAAAAAAAACUCUAGGCUAUAAACCUUAUAAAGCCCUAAAUCGUAUAUGCUAAAGCCUAAAAAACACAAAAAAAAACCUAAUCCCUAAACCCUAAACCUAUAAAACCCUAAAAAACCUUAACCUAAAAAACCAAAAGCCCUAAACCCUAAGAAACACUUAACCAUUAAGCUAAAACCCUAACCCCUAAACCAUAAACUGAAACCCUAAAUCCUAAACCUAAAACCCUAAGAAACCCUAAACUCUAAACCUUAAGAAACCCUCAAUCCUAUAUACCUAAAAUAAACCAUAAAAACCAAUCAAAACCCCUACAAAACCUUAAGCGCUAAGCCCUUAAUCCAAAAAAUCCAUAAACCCUAUACCUAACAAAACAAGAAAAAAAACCUUAAGCCUAAAGCCCUAAACCCUAAACUUAAAAUACAACUAACACCCUAACCCCUAAACCUUAUACCCUAAAAAUCCCCAAGAAAAACUUAACCCUUAAAACCCCUAAAAAGCCCCUAAAUAUAAAAAAAACUCUAGGCUAUAAACCUUAUAAAGCCCUAAAUCGUAUAUGCUAAAGCCUAAAAAACACAAAAAAAAACCUAAUCCCUAAACCCUAAACCUAUAAAACCCUAAAAAACCUUAACCUAAAAAACCAAAAGCCCUAAACCCUAAGAAACACUUAACCAUUAAGCUAAAACCCUAACCCCUAAACCAUAAACUGAAACCCUAAAUCCUAAACCUAAAACCUUUAGAAACCCUAAACCCUAAGAAACUCUAAAUCCGAUACCUUAAUAUAAACACUAAAACCCAUUUACAACACCUACAAAACCCUAAGCUCUAAACCUUAAAUCCUAAAAAUUCAUAAAACCUAAAUAAAAAAAACACAAAAAAAAAAACUAAGCUCUAAACCCUAAACCCUAAAAAACCCCAAGAAACACUUAACACUUAAAACUAGUAAAAAACCAAAAAACCCCUAAACCUAAAAAAAACUCUAAGCUUUAAACCCUAUCAAGCCCUAAAUCGUAUAUCCUAAACCCUAAAAUACAG
rnacentral:lncRNA from 1 species